rnacentral:lncRNA from 1 species
GUUGCUGUGCGGUGGCCUUCCGUUCUGUAGGACUUGUAGGUGUAUGCCAGGGCCUAAUGAUUAUGUUAUGCUGGCUUGGAAGAAAGAACAUGUGUUUGUAUUGGGUAUCUUGUGCUUUCCUUUUGCUUGAUUAUCCAAGGAUUGAUGUAGCUAGCUGUUGAGAUGAUUGAUUCCGUGGCUGCUCAUGGUGUGGCUUGAAAUCACCACUUGUACGCCUAAAAGAUAUUUUUUCCUUUCCUUUUUGAAAGAACCAAAAAGCUCACAAGAAUCCUUGAUAUUGGUGAUCAGAGCCUGUAAACCCUUUCAAUCACCAUGUGGUUAGAGCCCCAUUUUUUUUCGUAUUAUAUCCUUUGCCAAAAGCAAAUGAACCCUUUUUAUUAUUCUAGAACCCUGAAAAUAGAGGUUUGAACUAAAAGUAUUUAUUUUCCAAGAAAAUAUCAAUUCAUUAAAAGUCAUUUAUGAGGUGUAUUACAUACACUAUCCAUUCAAAAAAUAUUUUUAAAAGAUAUAUACGUAUUUAUUAUAAAUUAUUCUCUAAAAGGGAAUAAAUUGUAUUUAUAUGGUUAAAAUAUUUAUUUUCUCUAAAAAAAUCCUCAAAAAUCACCCAAGUGUUUUUUGAGAUUCCAAACCACUUGGAGUGGAGAAACUUUGAUACUCCCUCUGUUCACUUAUAUAAGAUGUUUUAGUAAAUUCAGACAGUAUACUAAACAGUUCAAACUCAGUUGUCUGAAACGCCUUAUAAAAACGAACGGAGGGAGUAGUAAUGUUCAAAAUAUUUGAGCAUUCUCAAUCAAACACCUUCCUUAUUUCCAUGUCUUAAGUUCGCUCAAUCUGAGAUAUUCAUAAAUAUCCCAAAUAAUUCCUGGAAUUUUUUUUGAGGGUAAAUAAUUUCUGAAUAUGCUCCGUAUUCCUGUGUCACGCUAUGCCUCGACUUGCGACCCAUCAGAGAGCAGCGGGGGACCAGGCCUGCUACCGUCCAGUAUAGCUGGCCAAACGGGCCGGGCCAAACAGGCCAGCCCGCGAGCACGCCGGCACGGCCCGCUAUGGGCCAGGCAUAGCACGGGCUAAACGGGCCGUGCCCUGCACGCGGCAUGCCUUGGGCCGUGCCUGGGCCUGGAGUCUGGGCACGCGGGCCAGCACGGCACGGCCUGUUUAUUUUUUUAUAUAUAAUUGUCAGAUUUUUUAUAUAUGUAUACCUAAAAUAUAGCCCAAUAGGCCUAAAAAACAGCCCAAGCUAAAUAUAUGUAGCCCAACGUGCUAAACGGGCCAUAGGGCCGGCCCGUUUACUAAUCAGGCGGUGCCUGGGCCAAGGAGCGGCGCCCGUGGGCCGGCACGGCACGACCCGGCUAUUAAACGUGCCAUGGCGGGCCGUGCCGGGCCAGGCACGAUUAGCACAGGCCGGGCCGGGCCGUGCCGGGCCGGCCCGUUUGGCCAGGUAUGCCGCCCAGGCAGUCAAUCAAAGCGAGGUUUUUUUUUGAGCAUCAGUACAGACACAAGCGCUCAUAUACACGCGCAUACACUCACCCCUAUAAACGCACACACGCACACCUUACCCCUAUGAGCACCUUCGAGAGACUGAGCCGGCAUAUCAUCUUGAGAUUUACGAAGUCACCGUAGGCGCCUCGUCAUCGACGGGAACGUCUCCUCCCACUGAAAACGCAUCGCCGGAAAUCCUGAAAUAAAUCCAAAAAUAAUGCGAGCACCAGGAUUUGAACCCUGAUGGAUUGAGGAUACAAGUGUCCACUUAAUCAACUCUCGCUUCAGUCAAAGCGAGGUGGUUGGGGCUUGGGUGGCUGUUCGGAUGGGCUGGCCCAGCUGCAAAAUCGAGUGCGUCGUCGCCGGAGUUCCUCAACCUCUCGUGCCGUCGUGUCUAAAAAAAAAGCUCUCGUGCCGUCGUGAAGCCCUAGGCGCAGGCAUGGAACAUGAAACUGAUGCGAGCCGGCGAAAGCGAAUCCACGCCCAUCGCGGCGGCGAGGGCGCGCAGUAGUCGGCGCUCGGCAGCAUCGGAUCCACCGCCACCGCUGCCUCAGGAAGGCCUCCAGUCGGCCGCCACCGCGCCUCGGAUCCGAUGGACACGGGCGCAGAUCCUCCACGCCACCGCCGGCUCAGGAAGGCCUCCGAUCUCCGCACCGCCCCCGCCUACCCACACCCGAAACGGGUAAGUACGGUGCUCAUCCCUGUCAUUUUCGUUGAAUAGUUUCCCUGUGAUUGCUCCGUGUUUGUUGAGCUGUAGGUAGGGGAAAAACAGUUUGGUGUGUAUUCUGCUACAGAUUUUUUUUUUACUAUUUAAUCUCUCAGUUUGUGUUUAAAAUUGGGCACAGCUAGAACACAUGUUCCUGUCCAUCUUUUGCAGCAUAAUGGAGUGCCUAUGUAUUAGCAUAGUGCAUACAUGCUCUUGAAAUUGUUGCGCCUGCUCCUGUCAUUACCAGUCCCUGCUGGGCAGCGGCUGGAUUGAUGGUUUCGUUGCUUGGUUUGGCCAUGCCUUGUACCUGCAGACUUGGCUGGUUCGGCCAUGUGAAAUUAGCAUCUGUGAGCCAGCUGAGCAAGUGACCUCGCAGUCCAGCACCAACAAAGCCCCAAUUCCUGCAGUCAUGGAUAAAGUCUAAUCAGGCGCGCACAGUUACAUAUAUCAACACAAAAUUCCUGGGUGAAUCACACAACAACAAUUGUGACAUAAGCAACGUCUAAAACCUGUUCGGUGAUUAUGUGACCAUCCUUUAAAGCAGUAAACUAUUGAUGCUACAAUCAAACAUGCAAAAGACAUGGUUUGAUUGGGUAGAAGAGAGUGCAGAAGAUGAAUAUUAUAGUCACAUACUUCCAUCUCUGUCUGUAAAAAUAAAGAUCUAUACAUUCAGAAUUACUACAUAUGAAAAAACCAUGACUUCAUUUUAGAGGCUAUCUAAUGAAGUCAAGUGUAUCCACGAUUUCUUUUGAGAUGCAUAUAACCUACUGGAUACCAACAGAGAAGUAAGCUACUGUAAUAUUUUUUUGUUCCUUUUUUAUAGGAUCUUACUAAGAAUACACUUGUUUUUAAGAAAAAACAUUUAGAGUUCCCAGCAGUGUACAAAUACAAUAGACUAAGGGCCGUUCUCACCUGAGAGCACCAGGCCAAGGCGGGUCUGCUUCUUACCAAGUAUCGUCGGAGCCGUCGUACAGGUCAUAACUGUCGUUGCUGUCGCCAUCCUCGUUCUGGACACAAGUGAAUUAAUUCCAGUUCAUUGUCGUACAGGUCAUAGUUAUCCUCAGCAUAAUCACCGGAUAAGACCUUAAAUUUUCCAAUGCUCAGGAUUACAUUUGCAAAAGAUAGACACAGAAACAAUUUGAAACUAGCAGCAAAUUACCAAGUGCAUAGGAUGAACACAUGCAUUCUUUCUUUUGCUUACAUUCUUAACAAUCACAAUGCAAUGGUUAUGAGGUUUCUUUGUUUUGUUUUGGAAACUGGGCAUUACAAUCCUGCCCAACAUGCUUGCUGCCUAAGCAUUCUAAGCAUCCAUAGAGGCAGGGAACAGGGGAAUGGAAAUUCAUCUUCACAUAUGCAGUCCAUGUAUGUCUAGAAAUAUUCCAGUAGUACUAUGACUGUAAUAUUUCCACAACAUAUUACAGAUGACUAAAAUUGUGUGUCAUACAAUUACAUUUUCGGGAUGAGUAAAACACCAACUGCAUGUCACCAAUGUAAACAUGAUGAAAUGAUUAGUUUUCAGAAUCUUAUGUUCAAGCAUAGCAGAACAAAGGAAAAUACCUACUGUCUCCCUGCAAAAACAUGCACAUGUAAAACAUGUGGAUGCUCAUCCAUUUCUAUUCAUGUAGGCUAGCAUAUGAAUGCUGCACAAAUGGCAGUAGGUAACAAUUAGAUUAGAGGAUCACAAAAAUUCUUCCUAAUUACUAACACUGAGGUGACAGUUAAGUGUGUUUUUGGAAAAAUAACAUGAAAAAUGCCUACAGAUAAUAAGAGAACCUUGACUGGCAUGCCUAAUUUUUGAAAAGUAAUAAAAGUUACAGAGUGUGGAACCAGGGAUACAGAAAUACAAAUCAUAAGUUGAUCUGGGUGCGUACCUUUUACUGAGAGCAUAUUUAGACUGGAGUAUGAAACUCAUGUAGCAGGAGCUGCUUGCCUACUAAUUGCGUUGAGACAAAUUACAUUCAAAGAACCUUCCUCUCACUAAUUCUCAUGUGUAAGACAAUAUGAUGGCGGGUACUCAAAGUAGAAAAAUGCUUCUUCCAGAGCAUUCGUUGCAAAUUGUGAAUUUCCUGUCCCCCCAAACAGGAUCAAAGAUCUGAACGAACCUACCUAAUCCUAGAAAGCAAGCGGCAGGUCCUAAUUGUACAAACAGACUCUGCUCCUAGAUUCCCAAAAGAAAAUCGAGUUCUCCAUACCAAAUUCGUACACACUCGCGAUCAUGUUCUAAUCCUCAAUAUACAUGACCAAGCUGGAGUGAAACACUGAAGCAUACCCUGGGCAAGUCGCUUGCCUGCUUGAGACGGGGAGGAGUAGCUUGGGUCGCCCGAGCUUGGAAACGGAGGAGGCUUGAUGCCGGGAUAUUUGAGGUCCGCGCUGGCCAGCGACUGCAGUGUCACCCAAGGCGACGGAGGAGCCAGCUGGAGGUGCGGGAUGCUGCGCCGGUGUCCAUGGAGCCGUCACCCCGGGAACCAUCGCGUUCAGGGUUAGCUGCAGGGCCGCACGCGAUGGCGGAACGGCGAGGCGGUGCUGGGAGGUGAAGGAGGGAGGUAAGACGGAGCUGCGUCGGUGGAGGGCGGCGCGGUAGAAGGCCGGAGUCGGCCGGGAAUGGAGGCAGCGGCAGCAUCUCACUCGGGAGGGAGGUGUUGNNNNNNNNNNNNNNNNNNNNNNNNNNNNNNNNNNNNNNNNNNNNNNNNNNNNNNNNNNNNNNNNNNNNNNNNNNNNNNNNNNNNNNNNNNNNNNNNNNNNNNNNNNNNNNNNNNNNNNNNNNNNNNNNNNNNNNNNNNNNNNNNNNNNNNNNNNNNNNNNNNNNNNNNNNNNNNNNNNNNNNNNNUAUUAGGAUAGGCGUAGUGGGGAAUGGGCCAUGGCGGGCCCUCCAACCGAGGUUUUCAGGGUUAUAACUUAUAAUGAGGCUUUGGUGGCCCGCACGAGGGGCAGCAUGCACCCUUGAUUUGCAGUCAGAGUCGCUCAAUCGGACGGUCAAAAAAGACGGGAUGGCUAGGAGCACGUUCUCUCGCGCAGGACUUCUCUUGGCGGAUUUACGUUGUUUAGGUGGAGUCACUCUUUCAUGUGUUUUGCUUGUUCAUGCACUGAAAUUUACUAGGAAUGUUGUCAAUACUUAGUUAUUUGGAAUUCCCUGACUUCUAUUUCAUUUAUUUCUCACCAAAACAAAACUAGAUACGCCCGGGCGAGGAGCACAACAGUUGCUGUGAGGACAAGAUCAGCAGCUUACCUGACGAGAUGUUAAUCUUGAUCAUCGACAAGCUAGAUGCACGGACAGCGACAAACACCACUAUCCUUUCGAAGCGAUGGCGGGAUCUCUAUACACACUCACACACAUGUUAUGACCUUACGGUUGAUGACAUUCUCCCUCCACGGUACCACAGACUGAAGCAAAUUGUGGUGGAGGCUGAGGCAGGGUACGAGGCAAAGAAGAAUGCACUGAAGUCGGAUGACAGUGAUGCUUCUAGAGACCAGUUAUAUUCCUUCAAAGACUGGAAGUGGAAAGUCCGUCUGCUAACACCCAUCCUGCAACGUUAUGAGCGUUCGGCCAUGCGACGCUAUGUUAAACGGGUGAAUGCAUUCCUUCUGGCUCCCAACAAUGUUCAGCCACGGUCUAUCCAGAAGCUGAGGCUUCAAGCCUGUGGGACGAGCUAUUUCACUGAUCAAUGGAUUACGCAAGCGAUUGGCAGAUGGGGCGUUGAAGAUUUGGAGCUUGUCAUUGACAACUCUUGCUGGCUCUAUGACUUCCGGCUGUUGGAUGGAUGCAAAAAUGUGCGGCUGAAACGGCUUGUGCUAUCCAAUUGUUAUCAUUUUGUUGCACCCUACUCCUUGACGUUUCAGAGGCUCACAUCACUCACUCUCUGCAAAGAAAGUUCACGUAUGUCACGCGUUGAUGAUAUUCUGAGAAACUGUGUGCAGCUGCUGGAUUUGAGGCUGAAAGAUUUUAGUUGUCGCCAACCUGCUUUUCAUAUCUUUGUUCCUAACUCAAAGUUAAAGAGUCUGCAAUUGGACAGCUACAACACUGUGGGUGCCUACCUGGGUUUGGUGCCUUAUCUUGAAACAUUUGCUUGUGGUGGUCAGCCAACUAUACUACACUAUGGCGUGGUGCCUCGACUUAGGCAUGUGAGUCUGAACUUCUUGCAAACUAGAGAUGACGGCAAGGAUGAUUCCUCCGGUAGCGACAGGACAUAUCAAAUAAGCAAAUUCUUUUUAGGGGAGCCGCCACCGCUAGAGUACCUUGUUCUGCAGUUAAGAGGGCGUCAGGUAAGUAGCUUUUCCUGAAAUGAUCUCUUUCUUAUUGGUCAUAACAUUGCAUCGGUACAUAAGACAGCACUAAAUUAUCACUUCAUUUAUGCAGAUGUGGAUUGAACUAACCGCCAUUCGCAGCCAGCUUAAUCAUCUCAAGAAACUAUUCAUUGCAAAUGUGCCAAUGAACUGGGAUACAUUCUGGAUUCUCCACCUACUUGCUGCCGCACCUGCCUUGGAGUCGCUCCAUGUUCAUGUACAUUCAUCCUACGAUUUUNNNNNNNNNNNNNNNNNNNNNNNNNNNNNNNNNNNNNNNNNNNNNNNNNNNNNNNNNNNNNNNNNNNNNNNNNNNNNNNNNNNNNNNNNNNNNNNNNNNNNNNNNNNNNNNNNNNNNNNNNNNNNNNNNNNNNNNNNNNNNNNNNNNNNNNNNNNNNNNNNNNNNNNNNNNNNNNNNNNNNNNNNNNNNNNNNNNNNNNNNNNNNNNNNNNNNNNNNNNNNNNNNNNNNNNNNNNNNNNNNNNNNNNNNNNNNNNNNNNNNNNNNNNNNNNNNNNNNNNNNNNNNNNNNNNNNNNNNNNNNNNNNNNNNNNNNNNNNNNNAAGAAUUCUGAAUGCAGUUUGACAGCAAGUCAGAGAAGGCAACUGCUGGAUCACUGAAUGUGCAAGUGGAGCACCAUCACCUGAAAGAACUCAUGGUCAUCGGCUUCGACGGUGUGGCGUGGCAGACCGGCUUUGUGAAGCGGAUCUCACAGACGGGAUCAAAUAUUCGCCGCAUCUCGAAAUAGUUUUGGAAUGACUUUUGGUAAAAGUCCGCUGUGCCUGUAGCCUUCCGUUCUGUAGGACUUGCAGCUGUAUGCCAGGGCCUAAUGAUUAUGUUAUGCUGGCUCUAAAGAUAGAACAACAUGUGUUUGUAUGGAGUAUCUUGUGCUUUACUUUUGCUCGAUUAUCCAAAGGACGGACGGGUGUAGCUGCUGUUGAGAUGAUUGAUUCCGUGGUGUUCAUUGUGUGGCUUGACUAGGCAAAAUUACCACUUGGACGCGCCUAAAAGAUAUUUUUCUUUCUUCUCCUCCUUUUUGAUAGAACCAAAAAAGAUCUGCAGCAUCCUUUUGUAAAGAAAUAUAAGAGCAUUUAGAUCACUAAAGUAUUGAUCUAAACGCUCUUACUCUUCUUUAUGGAGGGAGUACACGGUAAUGUUCAACACCAUCUAUAUGUUUAUCGAGAGGGGAUAUGUGGCACGCAGGUGCAGUGUACGGACCCAUUUUUCUUUUGCCUUCCCAUUUUCAAUAUUUUCGUAUCUGUUGAACUGAAAUUUCAAAUUAAGUUUUGCUUUUAUAUUCGUCUUUCUUGCGACGAGGGCUUUCAAAUACGACUCAUUUUGAAUAUGUUUUGAUGGUUUUCUUUUAAAACUUUGUUAGGUUUCAUCUGUUGAAACUUGAUACAAAGAAUGACAAAAAGUCCAAACACAAAGACACCGGUUCAGAUUUAUGCGAAUAACCGUUUCCACACUAUCUACAUGUUUUUUUUUUUAAAAAAAAAUUACACACUAUCUAGUACUCCCUCUGUAAGAUCUGGUUGGGCUGAGUGAGUCGACGGCGGCUCGGCAGCGUCGGAGUCGGAUUCGUCCCGUCAGCCCUCCUGAAUCAGCCCCGCACCCCAUUGCCUCCCCGCGAAUCCGCCGCCGCCGCCCACUCCGCGCCGACCGGCCGGCCGGCCAGUCGACACCGGCCCCCGGAUCCGAUGGACACGUGCGCAGAUCCUCCGCGCUAUCGCCGGCUCAGGAAGGCCUCCGACCUCCGGACCGCCGCCGCCCACCCACCCCAGAAACGGGUACGUACGGCACCCAUCCUCGCGAUUUCUGCUGAAUGUUUUGCAUCCGUUACAACCAAGAGGAAGAAGGAGCUGUUUAUUUCUGGAGGAUUGCUCCAUGUUUGUUGAGCAGUACUACUGGUGCUGUAAGCUUAGUCUUGUGCAUAAGCUAGCUGUCCAAAUGAGCCUCGUGUAAGCAGCGGCGUGGAGAAGCAUCUCUAUUUUUAACCACCUGUUUGGAGUGGCUUCUAGCAAUUGAGCUUAUUUGGGAGUAUUUGGUAACCGUGUCAAGUCUCAAACACCCAUAUACAUCAACCAAGAGCCAACACAAACACUGUAUCACAGUGACACAUGAAAAACAAGAGCUACCAAAUCAUUUCGGCAGUGCAAUAGUCUGAGAUCCAUGGUAAUGCAAAGUAAAUCUCGGAGAUAUGGCACUGUUCUUGCAUACAUCCAUACAACGAAAUUGACAAGAUAAUUAGAAAGGGGGGAAUUGAGAAGCGAAAUGUGAAAAGGAGAGGAACAUGAGAACAGAGGCAUAUUUCCUAGCGGAGAGGGACGGGGGGCGCGGGUGGCACGGAGAAGCUCGAGAAGCCUCUCUUUUGAGGCUUCCUGCUACACACGUGAAAUGGGAGGGGCUCCCCCCUGGCAGCCACAUAGAAGCUUUGCCUUAGGGAUAGCUUAAGGCUUAUUUGAACCAUAAGCCAUCCCACAAGCCGUUCCUAACCCAGUGGUAGGUAGAGACAAUGCAGUUUUGUGUGUAUGUUGCUACUGAUUUUCUCUCUUUUUAGUCUAUAAGUUUAUUGUUAAAAAAUGUGGCAACUAGAACACCUGUUCCUGUUCAUCUUUUGCAGCAGAAUGGAGUACCUAUAUAGUAUGAUACAUAUAUGCUCUUAAAAUUGUUGUGCCUGCUCGUGUCAUUAAUAUUUAGGUUGAAUAGGUGGACGCACUCUUCCAUUUGUUUUGCUAGUUCGUGCACUAUUUUUGACUAGUAAUGUUGUUAAUGGUUACUUUUAAGGCAAAUUGCUCAGUUAUCUGUUUAAGCUAUUUGGAAUUCCCUGACUGUUCUUCAUUUAUGUCUCACCAAAAUAAAACUAGAUGCGUCCGAGUGAGGAACACACCAGUUUCUGUGAGGACAAGAUCAGCAGCUUACCCGAUGAGAUGUUAAUCAUGAUCGUCAAUAAGCUAGAUGCACGGACGGCAAUAACCACCACUAUCCUUUCGAAGAGAUGGCGGGAUCUUCCUGCACACUCGCACACAUGUUAUGACCUGAUGACAUCCUCCCUCCACGCUAUCACAGACUGAAGCAAAUGGUGGUGGAGGCUAAAGCAGGGUAUGUGGCAGAGAAGAACGUACUGAACUUGGCCGGCAGUCAUGCUUUUAGAGACCGAUUCUUUGCCGUCAAUGACUGGAUGUGGAUAGUCCAACGGCUGACUACCCACCUGCAACGUUAUGAGCGUUGGGCCAUGCGACGCUAUGUUAAACGGGUGAAUGCGUUCCUUCUGCCCCGCACCAAUGUUCAGCAACGGUCUAUCAAGAAGCUGAGGCUUCAAACCUUUGGGACGAGCAAUUGCAAUGAUCAAUGGGUUACAUCAGCGAUUGGCAGAUGGGGCGUUGAAGAUUUGGAGCUUGUCAUUGACAACUCUUCCUGGUGCUAUGACUUCCGGCUAUUGGAUGAAUGCAAGAAUGUGCGAUUGAAACGACUUGUGCUAUCCAAUUGUUAUCAUCAUUAUGCACCCAAGUCCUUGACGUUUCAGAGGCUCACAGCACUUACUCUGCGCAAAGAAUGUUCGCAUAUUUCACACGUUUGUUAUAUUCUGAGAAACUGUGUGCAGCUGAAGGAUUUGAGCCUGAAAUAUUCCGGUCAUAACCAAGAUUCUCUUCAUAUUCGUGUUCCUAAGUCAAAGUUAAAGAAUCUGCAAUUGGACAACUGCAAUGUUGGGCAAGUCUAUCUGACUUCACUGCCUUGUCUUGAAGCAUUUGCUUGUCGCGGUCAGCCAAUCGAAUUACACUACAGCGAGGUCCCUCGACUUAGGCAUGUGAGUUUGAACUUCUUGCAAACUGGAGAUAAUGCCAAGGAUGGUUCCUUAUGUGGACUGAGCAAGUUGUUUUUAGGGAUUCCGCCACCGCUAGAGUACCUUGCUCUGCAAUUAAGAGGGGGUCAGGUGAGUAGCCAUUCCUGAAAUGAUAUUGUUUUUUUAUUGAUCAUAGCAUCGCAUCGCUACAUAAGAUAGUACUUAAUUAUCACUUCAUUUAUGCAGAUGUGGAUUAAACCUGCUGCCAUUCGCAGCCAGCUUAAUCAUCUCAAGAAACUAUUAUUUGCAAACGUGGCAAUGAACUGGGAUACAUUCUGGAUUCUCACCCUACUUGCUGCCGCACCUGCCCUGGAGUCACUCCAUGUUCAUGUAUGUUUACCCUACUUUUUUUUUCAAGCACAAUACUUUUUGGGGUUUGAAAGAUUUCUGAAACUCUGAAAUCUGAAUGCAGUUUGUCAACAACUCAGGGAAGGUGGGUGCUGCAGGAUCACUAGAUGUGCAAGUGGAACACCAUCAGCAGCACCAUCACCUGAAAGAACUCGUGGUCAUCGGCUUCGGCGGGGCGGCCUGGCAGACAGGCUUUGUGAAGCAGAUCAUCCAGGCAUCGCCGAUCCUGGAGCGCGUCCACCUGCUGGACGGGCACGUUGUCGAUGAUGAGGAUCGGGAGCUCGUCGGCCUGGAGAUCGUCCGCCGCCGCCGGGAGUGGCACGAGUGCGAGAGAUUGAAGGUGCUCGACGAACUGACAGACGGGAUCAGUUCGCCGCAUCUCAAAAUAGUUUUGGAAUGACUUUUGGUAAAAGUCCGCUGUGCCGGUAGCCUUCCGUUCUGUAGGGCUUGCAGCUGUAUGCCAGGGCCUAAUGAUUAUGUUAUGCUGGCUCUAAAGAUAUUGAACAACAUGUGUUUGUAUGGGGUAUCUUGUGCUUUACUUUUGCUCGAUUAUCCAAAGGACGGAUGUAGCUGCUGUUGAGAUGAUUGAUUCCGUGGUGCUCAUGGUGUGGCUUGACUAGGCAAAAUUACCACUUGGGGCGCGCCUAAAAGAUAUUUUUCUUUUUCUUUCCUCCUUUCUGAUAGAACCAAAAAAGAUCUGCAGCAUCCCUGAUAUUGUUGACUACUGCUACUUGUUGGACCAGAACAACAACUUGGUGGACCUGAUAUCACAACUGAACCCUAGAGACUCAAGCACUGGUUUAAGGUCAUAUAUAGAUGGCCAAAAUUUCAAAACCAAAAAAGAUACAAACAUGGUAAGUACUGUACACGGAUAAGGUUUCAACACCGUCUAUAUAUUUACCGAAAGAGGAUUUAUGGCACACAGGUGCGGGGCCAUCGACCCCAUUUUUCUUUUGGCUUUCGAGUUUCAAUAUUUCGUAAAAGUUCAAAUUAAGUUUUGUUUCCGUAUUCGCCUGUCUUGUGCGAGGGCUUUCAAAUAUUACCCAUUUUGAACAUGUUUUGACGAGUUUUUUUCCCCUUCUUCUACACUUCCUUUAGUUUUGCCCGCUGAAACAUGAUACAGAGAACGGCAGAAAGCCAAAACACAAGGACACCGGUUCAAAUUCAUAGGAAAAAACGUUUGCACACUUCCUUGCAUGGUACGUACUCACCUCCGUUCCAAAGUUAGUGUAAAGUUGAGUCAUUUAUUUUGAGACGGAGGGAGUAACCAAGGAUCCAUUCAAAUUCACACGGAAAUUCACCGCUUCCNNNNNNNNNNNNNNNNNNNNNNNNNNNNNNNNNNNNNNNNNNNNNNNNNNNNNNNNNNNNNNNNNNNNNNNNNNNNNNNNNNNNNNNNNNNNNNNNNNNNNNNNNNNNNNNNNNNNNNNNNNNNNNNNNNNNNNNNNNNNNNNNNNNNNNNNNNNNNNNNNNNNNNNNNNNNNNNNNNNNNNNNNNNNNNNNNNNNNNNNNNNNNNNNNNNNNNNNNNNNNNNNNNNNNNNNNNNNNNNNNNNNNNNNNNNNNNNNNNNNNNNNNNNNNNNNNNNNNNNNNNNNNNNNNNNNNNNNNNNNNNNNNNNNNNNNNNNNNNNNNNNNNNNNNNNNNNNNNNNNNNNNNNNNNNNNNNNNNNNNNNNNNNNNNNNNNNNNNNNNNNNNNNNNNNNNNNNCGUCAGCUGCUGCGGCACACCGAGCACCAGCACCACCACCCCCAACCUGCACCCUCCAGGACAAAGGCCCGAGACGGGAGCGCUCCCCCCACAAUUCCUGGCCCCCGGUCGCGCGCCCCAUCCUCCCUCCCCUCCGCACGGCCCCCGAGGCGCCGCCGCCGGCGCAUCCGCAUCCGACGCAUCCGCCGACCGCCCCUCCGUCCGUCCGUCGCCCGCGUCCCCGAUGUAAGCCUCCCGCCGUCCCCUCCCCCAUUUCGCACGGCUAUCCGGUUUUCCCAAUCCGGCGGCGGCGGCCGGCGCCGUUCCUCGCGAUCGGGCCGCGCGGCGGGCUCCCGGCCGCGAUCCGAUGCGGUCCCUCCGGCCCGAUGCGUCCUCCGGCGGCCGAUUCGCGCGCGGCUUUUGUGUGUUAGGCUCGUGGUUAGGACGGCGCGUACGGCGCGUGCUGUUUGUUGGAUUUAGGAGCGAUGCGUGGUCCGCGUGGGAUUGGCGGCCCGCGGCUCGUCUGGGCCCGAUUUGGCGCCCGAUUGGCCGGAGCCCCGCUGCAAAGGCGGGAUUUUUCUCCGCCGUGGGUGGAGAUCCCCUUGUGGGGGAGGAGGCAUCGGGCGAUGGAGAUGCCCGCCCGGCUCCCUUUUGCGGCUGUGGUGGCAUUCGAUUCCGGCUAGAGGGCUGCGGUGCUAGGAACGCAAGUCAUGUCUUUAGGAGUGCCUCAAGCCCCUGCGUUGAUUCCUCCCCAGAUGUUUGUCUAUCUGUCUGUCUGUCUCGGCUGCUCAUGUUUGGUUUGCAUAGGCAUGGUGAAGGAGCGAGUUGUGAGCUGAGAUUUUUACGUGUGUAUAUGUAUGGUUGCCUGUCACCGUUUCCUUUUACCUGUAUUCAUUGUUUUGUGUUUGGUUUCUUGUGCAUGGGGAGAUUGCCAGGAGCGCCGAGGGGUGUAACGGCAGGCCGGGUUGCAUGGACGGAUAAUGCCAGAGCUGCGAAGUGGUGUUCGGAGAGCUUGUCUGAGGUCCAGCAGGCUUGAAGACGUCCAGGCUGCAGAUCAGGUAGCCGCUCCCGUGUUGCCAGCUCCCCGGGGGAGGGGUGGGAGGCGUGGUGGUGGUGGUGCGGCUGGCAGAGGCAACAAGAAAGCAGCUGCCGCGGGAAGAGGAAGGCCAGCUCCAAAGGCUAGAGGAAAGAGGGUCGAGGCUAUUGAUCUGACUGACCAGCCUUUCGAGGACAUCCCUGAAGCUAUCGUUGGAGAGGCAGUUGCAGCCACCGCCCAGCAGGACCUUGGUUUGAACAAGGUAGCUGACAGGGCCGCCAACUUCAAAAUGGAAGGUGCAAGUGGUGAUAGACUUGCAGCGGCGGAAGAUGAAGCCACGACGACGCCAGUGCCUGAGAGGGUAUGACUUCCUGUUUUUCCCGUGCACUUGUUUACGUCGGCUAUCCUAUUUCUACACUGAUUGUGCAAGUAUUUCUUCCCAUUCCUCUAUGUUUGUUAUGUUACUUGCUAAUGAUGUUAACUUUGUUUGGUAAUAUUUGUACCAUCAUGUGGAAAUGCAUUGUUCUUUUGUUGUAUCAUGCAUACCUAUCUAUCUCUCCUUUGGCAAGUAGUGUGUCCUUCUAGAAAAUUUCUCAUGAUGUAAUAAGUAAUUAUUGAUUGUUGUUCAUCUAAAGAAUGAAUGCGGCGAAAAGCUAAGCAUGUGCAUCAGAGAUCGUGUUUAUACUUCCAUGAGAGUAGUCAAGACUGAGUGGCUGUAUUAUGGUAGUUUUGUUUUGUAGCAGAAAGCAAACAUCUAAUAAGAUAUUGAAAUAGAAGCCAGUUGGAGUUAAAAAGAAGAAACUAAUUUCACAUCAACAUAAAUACAGAAAUAUUGUUGUUUUGGCUGCAAACCCAAAUCAAUUUUCAUACUCUUCCUUUCUCCCUCUCUCUGGGAAAAGCACCGCAUGUUUGUCUUCCACCGGUCAUUGCUAAUUAUAGCAGAGUGACACACAUUUCCUUAGUUCCCUAAUUUGAUGAAUUUGCUGUGAAUAGUACAUAUAUAUGGGGGUUUCCUUUUCCCAUAAUGUAAUGACCAAAAUAGGCUUCUCAUUUUCUCUAGUGCUGCUUAGUUUGCUCUCGUGGUCAUAUUAUUACUGAUCCACCAAUACAGUUUUGUAUAGUAGAGUUCUGUUUACAUGAUAUAAGCUCCUAAAAAUCUGAAUGUUACAUCUAACUAUUGCAGGUUCAAGUUGGUGGUUCUCCAGAAUAUAUAACUGAUAGGAAGUUGGGUAAAGGUGGAUUUGGCCAGGUCUAUGUUGGCAGAAGAAUAACUGGUGGGGCUUCUCGUACGGGCCCAGAUGCAUACGAGGUUUCUUUUCUCACCUGCCUCAGUUGGACACUAGAGUCCUCCUUGAUCUAGUUGAAUCUUAUAUGGAUUAAUAUGCUUUAGGUUGCACUCAAACUUGAACAUCGAAGAAGCAAAGGAUGUAGUUAUGGCCCCCCGUUUGAGUGGCAGGUUUAUCAGUAAGAACUAUACAUAAUCCACCCUUUUUACAUUUAUGUUAUUUUCUGUGGAGCAUGGCAUGCUAAACUUUCUGUGACAGGUCUCUCAAUGGUUGUUAUGGCAUACCAUCAGUCCACUACAAGGGUCGCCAGGGAGACUACUACAUUCUUGUGAGUUCAACUAUAGUUAUGCAACUCCAGACUGCCUCUUAAUAUGAUCCUUCAUAGUCAAUUCAACCUGCAUUUCAAAAUUUCAGGUAAUGGAUAUGCUGGGUCCUAGCCUCUGGGAUGUUUGGAAUUCAAUGGGACAGGCGUGAGUAUCUUACUAAUCUUUUCACCCUGUCAGCAUGUUUUUCUUACUCCUUGCUGAAAGCACCAAUAUCCCAAACAGGAUGUCUUCUCAUAUGGUUGCUUGCAUUGCCGUUGAGUCCAUAUCAAUCCUUGAGAAGCUUCAUUCCAAAGGGUAAUUUUCUACAGCCAUGUGUCUCUGUCAAUGAUCCUGGAGUCCAUGGACAUCAUUUUCCUAUCCUUUGUUGGUAUUAACACUUCUUCUGCUUCCUAUUAUUGUCAGCUUUGUCCAUGGAGAUGUAAAGCCAGAAAACUUUUUGCUUGGUCAACCUGGAUCACCUGAUGAGAAGAAGCUUUUCCUAAUUGAUCUUGGUUUAGGUAUGUUCUUGUUUAAGACAGUUUCAUCUUUAUAUGUAGAUGUCCAGUUUCAUAUUUUCAGUGAGCUGUGGCCUUCAGUCAUAAGAAUCGCUACAUAAUAGGAUGUUGAUGGUUUGACACAUUUUAUGCGCCACUAUAACCUUUUUCAUGUGGUUCUGUUAAUAUCUAAAUUAUGCAGCAUCCAAGUGGAAAAAAGCAUCAUCCAGUCAGCAUGUUGAAUAUGACCAGAGGCCAGACAUCUUUAGGUUGGUUCUAUACUAUAUUCUUUAUGUACAAAACUAAAAAUUAUUCACCUAUUAACUAACCUAUUUCCUUUUAUGAUUUCCAGGGGAACAAUUAGAUAUGCUAGUGUCCAUGCUCAUUUAGGCCGUACAGGCAGUAGAAGGGAUGAUUUGGAGUCACUAGCGUACACCCUUAUUUUUUUAAUAAGAGGAAGAUUACCUUGGCAAGGCUUUCAGGUAGCCUUAGAUGCGCUCAUAAGAGUUUGACUAAUAAUUUACUGUUUGCUCUUGAACCCAUUUUAAUGUUAAUUGCUUAUUAAUGCAGGGAGACAACAAGAUCUUUCUUGUUUGUAAGAAGAAGAUGGCUACCUCUGCGGAUGUUCUGAGUUGCUUCUGUCCACCUCCAUUCAAACAUUUUCUUGAGAUGGUCACUAAUAUGAAAUUUGAUGAAGAGCCAAAUUAUGCAAAACUUAUUUCUCUCUUUGAUAGUCUGAUUGAAGUGCCUGCUUCAAGACCCAUCAGAAUUGAUGGUGCUCUAAAGGUUUGUUCUGCUGUACCUAUGCUCCGUCGUUUUUUUUUGUAUUAAAAUUGAUCAUGCAUCUGUUUUAUGUAUUGUAGGUUGGGCAGAAACGUGGAAGAAUGGUUGUAAAUCUUGAAGAAGAGGAACAGCCUAAGAAGAAAGUUCGGUUGGGGAGCCCAGCAACUCAAUGGAUUUCGGUUUAUAAUGCUAGGCGGCCUAUGAAGCAGCGGUAAUUGUCUUAAAAUAUGAAUUUAGUGCAGAGUUCUUCAUUCUUAUGUCUGCUUGCCCAGACAUUAUUUCUUCUAUGAAUUCUCAUUUCCUUGCCCUUGAAAAAUUGGCCUGUUCUAGUGAUUCAGGUACCAUUUAAACUGACAUAAGUUGUCUCUUGCACACAUUAUUGGCCAAACUUAGCCUAGUACACCCUCCCCUCUCUCUUCCUGACACAUAGUCAGCAGUCAACUGUGCUGUGGUGAUUCAUGUUGAACAUGCGAUCGUUCUUAGUGUGAACUCACACUUUGAAGUGUCAUUUACCUUGUAAAAGCUGUGAUUCGAAUUACACUAUUAUUGAUUUUUGUAACUGAACCAUUCAUGGUAGCUCUAGUGAUGGAAGGGGCUUGGUUUGUGUUUAUUAUGAUUUAAGCUUGUGAAGCUCCUGUUUGGUUACUCUUGCUUUCUUGAGCCUGAGAUAUUUAUUGGUCAAUUAUUUAUCAUCCUUCGUAAAUUGAUGCAUUGGUUAUUUGUCCUUUUUACAGAUACCACUACAAUGUAGCCGAUUCAAGGUUGCACCAGCAUAUUGAAAAAGGCAAUGAAGAUGGCUUGUACAUUAGUUGUGUAGCUUCUUCAGCAAAUUUUUGGGCUCUCAUAAUGGACGCUGGGACCGGGUUUGGUUCUCAAGUGUAUGAGCUUUCACAAAUUUUCCUGCACAAGGUGCGCCACGGUCUCUGUCCUCGCUAGUUGGAAUUUUGAUAAUCCAGAAUCUUGAUGCUAUAUUGUUUAUGACUUUUUAUAUAGGAUUGGAUUAUGGAGCAAUGGGAAAAGAACUUCUAUAUAACAGCAAUAGCUGGAGCAACCAAUGGAAGCUCAUUGGUUGUGAUGUCCAAAGGUUUGUAAAUUACCUGUUCUUUCUUGACAGCUGCUCAUUUGUUGAAACUGCUCCCUUUGGUGAAGAUCGCACGUUUGAGAGAGAACUGCUAUACGUAUAACACGAACUAGUAUGCUUUUACUGAUGUAUCACAUAAAUGUUUGAGCACAUAACUUGUGAUCAGAGUGAGGAAAAUUACUAUAUUAGAUCAUCUGUACCAAAUUUAUACCUGAUUUUAUCGUAUGUGCAGUCGUUCCCUUUUAAAAAUGAGCAGUUAUCUGGAAACUAACAUUUAGCAGAACCUCCAAGCCACCAAGGUUAUGAUAGAGGUCAUCAGAAUUGGUGUGUGGAGGUUGCCACAGCAUUGUUGGUACAGGAUACAUCAGUCUGUCCUUGGUCACUGUUCUGAUAAACUAGCGCUGAGCAAACAUUUUUACUAGUUUUCUGUUUUUAAUAUUUACAUACGAAGUUAAACAAAUUAUCAGCAUCUGUCUACUGUCUAGAUCCUUGAUGUUUUGUAUAGCCCGCUGUUCCCUUUUCCGUGAUUUAUACAUGUAAUCUGAUCUUCGAUAUCAUUACAGGAACUCCAUACACACAGCAGUCAUACAAAGUCAGUGAAUCUUUUCCUUAUAAGUGGAUUAAUAAAAAGUGGAAAGAAGGUUUUCAUGUAACAUCCAUGGGUACUGCUGGGAACCGUUGGGGAGUUGUCAUGUCGAGGAAUGCGGGCUACUCUGACCAGGUCAAAACACAUGCUGCACUUCUUUGUGAUAAAUUAUUUGAAAAUAUAAUUUUCAUGAAUUUGGUGGUCCCUCACGUAUAUAAUUUCUCAUGUGUUUAAACAUACAUUUGACGACUGCAUAUGUUAUAAAAAAGAGGAAAAACAAUACUUAACAUAUGUCUGCUUUUCAGUUCUGUAGAUCUCUGCAAGCUAAACUCUUUUGAAAAUUUAGAUGGUUCACAUCUGACAACCAGCAAUUUGAGCAUUGCAUGUAAAAUAUGUAACUGUAAAAGCAUAUGCUGCUCUUCAAGGUUGGCUUCAGUUAACCUUGGAGAACUGGGUUCUGUACCGUUUCGAUGAGUAAUUAUGUAGAGUUGUGCCAAGUCUGAAUUUUCUUACAUAUAGGUCAUAAGGUGUGGCCAGUGUGGUGUUGCCACAUGACCGACCAGUGAUGAAACUGAAUCUGUGUUGCAACCUGCAGGUUGUAGAGUUGGAUUUUCUGUAUCCAAGUGAAGGACUCCAUCGGCGAUGGGAGAGUGGUUACAGAAUAACUUCAUCCGCAGGCACACCUGACCAAGCUGCUUUUAUCUUGAGCAUACCAAAGAGGAAGCCACUGGACGAGACCCAGGAAACCCUUCGAACUUCUGCCUUCCCCAGUAACCACGUGAAGGUACCUCGUGCAUUUUUGUCCACCAUGUGUUGAUUAGUGCCUUUACCUAACCCAACCCUCGGAACCGAAAAAUUUCAGGAAAAGUGGGCGAAGAACCUGUACAUCGCCUCAAUCUGCUACGGGCGAACCGCGUGUUGACGGCGUACUUGAGCUCGACGGCGAAAUCACCCGAGUUUUACCACUGGAGCCAGAAGAGAGUUCGAGACGGAACAAACUCAGCGUCAACCUUAUUAUCUAGGUUUCGAGCGCAAUUGGCUGGGCGCUGACACUGGCCCGGCCUCUUUUGGUUGGCGGCACGCUAUUCUAAUUGUAAAGAAUCUUGCGAAGAUCCUUGGUGUUGUUGUAUCAGUCCUCAUCGGAUGGAUAUGAACCUGUUGAUAAGCUAAGGUCAUAUUAUUGGCAGAUUUGCUGUUGCUCAUUUUCGCAGCUCACCUGUAGCAAUAUCCUAUGUGAGGAAGCUGCAGAGGCUGCUGUCAAUCCCAUGAUGCAACUUUUGCUAACUGACUCCAAAAGGUUUGGCACACAGCACAGCACACCUGGAUCAUGAUUCAGUUGCUGUCAAUCCAUGAUGCAACCUUUGGUAACCGACUCCAAAAGGUUUUGGUACACAGCAUACCUGGACGUAACCUAAGGGCUCCUUUGAUUCAAAGGAAUUUUAUAGAAUUUCUGAAGGAUUGAAAUCCUUAGGAUUUUUUUCUAUGUUGCUCCUUUGAUUUAUAGGAUUGAAUCCCAUAAGAAUUUUUCCUAUGGAAUUUUUUGUACUACAUUUCAUAGGAAAUCUAACAUCCACUCCAACCUUUUUUUACAAUUCCUUUGUUUUUCCUGUGCAGUCAAACACUCGGGGCUCCUUUGAUUCAAAGGAAUUUUAUAGGAUUUCUGAAGGAUUGAAAUCCUUAGGAUUUUUUUCUAUGUUGCUCCUUUGAUUCAUAGGAUUGAAUCCCAUAAGAAUUUUUUCUAUGAAAUCUUUUGUACUACAUUUCAUAGGAAAUCUAACAUCCACUCCAACCUUUUUUUACAAUUCCUUUGUUUUUCCUGUGCAGUCAAACACCCAUUGCUAAUCCUAUAGGAUUCAAGUGGGCAUGCCACUCCAAUCCUAUACUUUUCCAAUUCCUACGUUGUAAACAUCCUAAGAAUUAAAGAGACCCUCAUUGCUAAUCCUAUAGGAUUCAAGUGGGCAUGCCACUCCAAUCCUAUACUUUUCCAAUUCCUACGUUGUAAAAAUCCUAAGAAUUAAAGAGACCCUCAUUGCUAAUCCUAUAGGAUUUAAGUGGGCAUGCCACUCCAAUCCUAUACUUUUUCAAUUCCUACGUUGUCAAAAUCCUAAGAAUAAAAGAGGCCCUAAGUUGGGUUUUAUAUAGUGCCAUGCCCAUGCGCCUGAAAUGAGAUUAGUGUGUGGUCUGUUACAGUCUUACAGAGCCUAUGUUGGGUUCGCCGUGCUAUCCUUAGGACAUUUUGACCUGUACGUCAUUUCAACUAGUAGAAUGGAGAUGUUGCCGAUAUGGUACAGCUCCAGAAUCAGAAUCACGGCCAAAAUAUCCAAUCUUACCCUUUUUGAGAAGUUCUUGUUAGAAACCCACAGUCUAGCUACUGACUCAUAAUUGGCGCCCACUGCCUUUUUGAAUUAACUUUGCACAACCUCCCAGAUAGCAGAGGAAACCACACAAUCAAAGAAUAAAUGGGUGAUGUUUUCAUCACAGGCACAAAAGAGACAUUCUCUACCUUUGUCUAUAUGUCUUUUGAGCAAUUGUUUUUAGUCAUUAAUUUAUUAUGUCCUAGCAGGCAGAGAAAAAUAUGAGAGGGACAGACAGCUUCCAAACUACAGGAAUGUAAACUAGACAGCUUCCAAACCGCAGGAAUGUAAACUGGUUGCACACUCUGGAAAUUAAUAACCGAAUAGAAAGCGCUAGUAGAAUAAACACCAUUCUUCUCCAAACGCCAGAUCAAGGCAUUUGAAUCACCAGAGAAAGUAAUGCUCUUACCUAUUUCUACCAAUUCAUACCACUUCUCCAUCACCUGGGGAGUAAAGGACUUCCAAAAGGUACUUUUAAGGUUGUCCCCAUCCCACACAGUUUUGCUACUAACAUUCUUCUCCAUGCAAAUGAGGUAAAGAUACCAGUAUUGCACAUCAAGGGGAGUUGUACCAAUGCAAGUAUCUUCCCAAAACCUAAUUUAAUCCCAUCCCCCACCAUCCAUCUAUAACCAAAUUUGAUGGCUUUGAUUAGAUGUGACCCCUUUCCAGAAGGUGGAAGCAUUGGUGGAGGAGCUCAUGAAGAUGUUUGGGGAGGUAUUUGAGUAUUUGCCAUCAAUUACUUGUUUCCGGAGUUUCCCACCCCCCUGGAUAUAUCUCUUAAUCCAAGAGCCUAGGAGACUCAUAUUCACUUCUUUAAGGUUUGGGAUCCCUAAACUCCCAUACUCCCUUUUCAUGCAAAUCAUCCCCCAAUUGGCUAGGUGAUGCUUCAUGUUCCCCUCAAAAUCACUCCACAGGCAAUAGGUAGGGUUCUUCCCAAAUCUCUAAGAGAUAUGGUCUUGGGAUAUAGUCUUCUCAAAUCCAAAGGAUAUGGAGGUCUUGGUAAUCCAAAAGGGGAUUCUUCUCCUUAGGAGGUGUUGAUCCUCUAGGACAAGAUAAGAUGAGCAAAACUCUCUCAAGAUCUAGUUUUGCUUUGCUAACCCUAGAAAAUGGGAGAGUUGCGAAAUAUAUAGGUGCUAGAGGCAAGGGAGGAAGUUUCCCGGUCACUGCUCGCAUGCAAGCACAUGCGCACGGGGUAAAGGGGGUGUGGGAACGGGGUGUCCAGAGAGUUAGCGAGGGACCCCAUGCGCACGGGAUGUCUAGAGAAUUUCUGGGUUAGUCCGUGCGCACGGGGGUGCAGGGCUCUGUGGGCACGGGGUAUGCAAAGAGAGCUUCUACUCGUCUUCAGUCUCUGGGCAUCUUCUUCGAUGCCUCCUUCUUGCUCCUUCUCGUGGACCUGGCGUUACUUCCUCGCUUCUCCGUGGUGGUCUUCAUCGUACCUAAUCACACAUAGAGUUCCACUUUGAGGUAGUAGCCAAGUCUCAUCCAAAUCUAUAGGGAGCUCAAGUAGGAGAGAAUUACCUCAGUCUAUGGCACGUGCACGAGCUCUAGUCAUUGAUCCAUUUGGAGCUUGUGGGGUUGAUGGUGAUGUCUGUAGGGUGCUCUGCACCACCAAAUCCAUGCGAAGAAUGUGUGUAAAUCAUUCCACAAAAAAUAUAGCACAACAAUUAAACAAUUCAAACAAGCCAACAUGAUCCACGACAAAUAAAAUUCAACAAUGCAAAGAUAACCGAUAAAACAAAUGAAUCAAGCGCUUUUGUUGCGCUCGUUGAUGUCUUUGUGCAUGUUGGUGAAGAACAUCUUGGCCUUGUCAUCCAUAAGGCUAGUGUAGGCUAACAUGAUCCUUGACUCGUCGGUGAUCCUCGCAAGCCUCACCUUCUCUCUAUCAAUCUCAAUGCCCCCCUCGCCCUUGCCUUCUGAAGCUCUAUAUGCUCCCAUGCCUUCAUCUUCUCUCGAACCUCUUCCUAUCGACUCCAUCUUAUCCCUUUGAACAUGCAAGUAGAGCUUGUAUCCUUUUUUUUUUCAAUUUGACGCCUUUGUCGGGAAGGAGUUCUUUCCAUGUGGUCGGCAUUUUGCUCGCCACUCCGUCACUCGCGACCCUAUUUUUCUCUCACUUCUUCCUCAUCAUGAUCCCAUUUCUCUCCGAUUCGGUCCCAAGUCUGGUUACCGCUCGACUUGUUUCAUCCUCUUCAUCCAACCCAAUAUAUUGGUGGGGGCUUGAGCCAUCAUUGUUUCCUUCUUCUUUUCAGGGUUCUUGAGAUCUUAAAAGAGGGUUGCCCACUUGGGUCUCCCUUCCAAUUCCAACCAACAAUGCGGCAUAGUGAACGGCUUCUUCUCAAUUAGAUGAGGUAAUAUCAUCGGGAGUCAUAAACUUGCGCUCAAUGUUCAGUUUGGUGCUAAAACUUCUAAAAUACGGAUUUGUGGUCACAUAACUUGUCCCCACAUACAAAUACGGUGCUUCCUCUCGUAUCCAGCCGCAUGGCCUAUCCACAUGGCGUGCCAGAUUGGUGGAGGCCCAUCUGUCAGUGGUUGGGAAUGCACAAGGCGUUAGGUGACAUAGCAGACCGAUUUCUUUAUAGAGAACCCCCUCACAAUUUAUUUAAUUGCGCAUAAAACCAUCAAAUAUAAUAAAAAAUGAUGGCGAUCUCUCAACCUCGAGCAUGGAAGCACAUAAGCUAACUGCUACACUAAGUAUCUAUCGGUGUCUAUAAAGAGAAACACCAAAUUUUAUAUAUUGUCCAUGACAACUACUCGUAUUCACGUUUUUUUUCUCUCGGACUGAAUUUUCGAUAACCGAUUGGUCCCAGAAAAUUCGGUGGUCCCCGGAAAAAUUGAUAUCGCCUGAAAAUUUUGAAUUUAAAUGACAGAAAAUAUGUCAAAUAUAAUAACUUUUGCAUGCAUACAAUAUCAUAUCUAUACCACUACAUAGUACACAUAAUUUUUUGAACUUGGAAGUCCACUGCAGCAUCCCACCAAAUUCCCACUGGAUAGAUCCAAGCCGCCUAUUUGCAAGUUAGGAUUGCUAUCCACCACUCAUCAGAACGCUACUCAACAGAUUGGAUGGUUGAAAAUGAUUGGAUUCGCCAUCAUGCCUUCCCGCGUGCAAACUUCUGUGUUGAAGCCGCUGGACACUUCUGGACAAGUACAUCACGUCAACAAGAAAGUCCGCUAUCUGCGAUUAGUACACGUGAAUUGGGCUUGUGAGCUGGGAGGCCGACAUGGUCAUACACCUCCCAAGAUCAUGUGUAAAUGGAGACAUUAUGGCCUACCGUUCAACCAAUGUACACGGUGACAUUAUCUACAACAAUAGCUUUGUAAAUAAACUACUCCUACGAUAGCUCGCACAAAGAAAAAUAACUCAAUACGGUUGUUGUAGAGACAUGCCAUUUUGUUGUUGUCAAACUGAAAACGUGACUAUUUAAUCAUAUCAAUUUGUUUUCUUGUUGAUAUUAGCAUACAUAGAUUACAAAAAUGUGAGAUCGAUAAAAUGAUAUCAAACUACCAUGCAUUUGACAGUUUGCCUACGGACCACAUUAUCCAUCAAUCGAAUCAUUGGACUUGUAAUGAUUUUUCAAAAAAGAUGUGUCCAUUUCCCCUACAUCACAAAAGGAAUAUAGACUCACACUUACCCCCACGUGAUUACAAAUAUGAGCGAAUGAUUAAAUAUUAUUUGUAAUACAAUAUAAAAAGACUUGAUUGUUCGUCUCAUACCGAACAAAAGAAAAUGUUCACUCCGUAGAAGUUCUCAUUCACGUCACUUUCUUAUUUACUUAAGAAGUAUAACGUGCAUAGCACGUGCAAUUUACUAGUAAUCACAUAGUUAGCUUAGUGGCAGGUCUGUGUUUAUAUUCCCUGUAUUGUGAAAUAUUUUUUUCUUUAUUCAUGCUCAUUUAUAAAAAUGGUCUCGAACUGUAACAAUGAAUUAAACAUGCGAACUUCUAUAUAAGAGAGGAGUCGAGCUGGCCAAUGUAACAGGAAUCACUUUGUUUUUGAUAAACUAAAUAUAUUUAGACGUUAAAAUAUUUGAAUUCAAAACUCAUUUAGAAAUUUUGGUCGAUAAAAAACUGGAACUGCCAAGAUAUUUUGAAACCCGAAUUUUCUAGCCAUUCUCAAAAAGAAUGGAGUCGAAAAAAUUCUCGCUCACGACAACGUUUUGUAUGUUUUGGGUUAUGCAUUAUACAUUUUGACACUUUUUUUUAAGUUGAACAUUUUUGGCGAAAAAAGGUGAGGUUUUCCUGGAUCUAGCUUUUACUGGUCGAACCCAGGAAAAAGGGGAAUUUAGCUAAAAAAUGCAUCUAAUAUAAAAUCAGGCGUGCCUCUUUAUAGGCAGGAAUAUGUAGUCAGUGUAGUGGUUUGCUUGUGCAUGCAUGUACCUGAGGUCUGGAGUUCAAAUUUGUGCGUGUGCACUUUUUAUUCUCCUUUCUCCCUUCACUCAUGCUGACAAAGUGGGACCCAUAGAGGGGCUUAUGCUCAAUUAAAUAAAUUAAGUACAGAGCAGGGGUGCUUCUGCAUAGGAAAAAACGCGCCAAGCUGUUUCAGUCACUAACAGUGGGCCACAACCAUGCUGGCGUGCCACAUAAGCAUGAGAUACGUCUGACUGAAUAUGAGCAACGUGACUGUAUUUGCACGAGAACGCAAGUUGGAUGACCACAAAUCUGUAUUUUUAAAGUUUUAGCACCAAACUGAAUAUCGAGCACAAGUUCUAUGACUCCCGGUGAUGUUACCUCCAAUUAGAUUGUACAAUGUGUCUGCCAACCUCAACUAUAAAAGCCCACAUGUCAAAUAUUGCAAGAUAUGAAACACACAAGAAAAUUGAUAACCAUUGUGGAGCAAACAAAGCGUACAUGGCUUCCAACUGUCAUGCCGCUUUGGUUCCUAUUCACCACUAGAGCAUAGGCACCACAAAACUUAUAAGAAAUUAUUCCAUCGAACGUAGUCCCCUGGAUGCGGGUUUGCCAUCCUUGUUUCUAGUUCUACUGCAUUCCAUCUCAUCGUAUCACUAUUCUAUGACUCCUGUUGUUCAUCGACUCUUGGAUGGUGCCCAUCUAUGCUGGAGAGAGCUUGCAUUGUGAUCACUAUGGACGCUCCACAACCGGAAUCACGGCCAAAAGAACCUAUCCAACCCUUUGAGAAGUUUAGCAUGAAAUGACCAUGUUUGAACCUUAUUUUUUUUUCAACGGUAUGGUUCCUGGCGUUGUUUUUUAGGGGAUCUUGGCGUUGCUGCUGCACUGAGCAACGCCAUAGUCGCCGGCCAUUUCAUACUCCCUCCAUUUCAAAAUAUUGUGCGCCCACGCUUUCUGAGGUCUAACUUUGACCAUAAAUUUAAUCAACGAGACCAACUGCGGUGGGAGAAAAAAUUAUAUAAUUGAAAACUUCUUUUGAAUAUGAAUUCACUGAUAUAAUUUUUACCCCCGCCGUACUUGGUCUUGAUAGUUAAAUUUACGAUCAAAGUUGAAACACGGGGAUAGAGGAAGCACGAGGGAGUACUAAACGUCACACAAAAGGGUAAUUUUGUGAUUUUGGCCCAGAAUCACAUCAUACACGGCCCAACAGUUGGCGUGAGGCUCAGGGUUGCCGGCGCAGACUGUACACGAGCGAGGUUGUAGCGGAUCACUUGCGUCUCCCUCGUCCCGAGUCUCUGUUCACUAGGUCCCGCCUCCUUUCCGGUCCACCACGUGGGUCGAUCUGGACCGGAGACCGCACACCGGCUGUCCGCCAUCGACGACGGAGAGGGCCUGCCGCGGCGGCGGCGGCGGCAACAGCACCCGCCAUGGCUGACGAUACUCCUCCAAAGACGGGUGGCGGAUGCGGACGCGCACGGCCCCGGAGCCCCAGCUCCGCCAUCCUCCGCCGCUCCACCGCCGCCCGCCGUGGAGCCGGCCUCCUCCGGCAUGGCUGAUGAACCUCCUCCAAAGGUGUGCCACUUCAAGGUACGGAUCAUCCCGCCGCGGGGUCCGACGAGCGCGGAUGCGGACGCGCACGGGCCCGAAACCCUAGCUCCGCCUUCCUCCGCCGUUCCACCUCCGCCCGCCGUGGCGCCGGCCUCCUCCGCCCCACGGCAGCCGGAUCCGGCGGACAACCGGUCCCGACGGCCCCGACCCGGCUCGGCUCCUUCCUCAUCCCUCCGCCCUCCUCCCUCCGCCCCGGCUCGGGCGGCCCCGACGCCCGCGGUCACCGGCCCGACGCGGCCUUCCUCCUCGACGUCGUCCCGGCGGAAGUCUGAGCGCGGGAUCGCCAAAACCCUGGAUCCACCGCCCUCCCGCGCCCUGAUGUCUCCAGCGGCUUCGACAGCCAUUCCCACCAUCAACUCGAGAUCUCUCCGACGAACUCCUGCGCGUGCGGCGCGUGCAGCUCAUCUUGAUGCAGCUAGCCAGCACUGCCACGAGGAUGAAGCAGCAACAGAGGUUUGUUUUCUGUUUUCUGUUCUAUGUAUACUACUAUACUUGAAAUCAAUAGGGUUGAAACUUUAGUUAUAUGGCCACCUUAUUAGAUGUGAACCAAUAGAUGCAUCAAGUGAACUCUAACUUGAGAGUCGGGCACUGGGUAUGUUUUCCGUUCUGAUUUCCGUUCUAUCGUACUAUACCGAACACAACGGGGGUAAUAAGGUAAGGAUGUCUCUGCUAAUCAAAGAUGGGAAGGGUAACAUUACACAAGCAACCUUGUAGAUGGAGAGAAGGUAAUCCCAAAUGCUGCUGUUGAAAUGCAUGAUGAAGUGCAUUCAUUAACCCGUCUUAUAGUUGCUUCAGUGAAUAAUUUAAUCACAAUCCAGUUUAUGGUGUGAAAAUUUAAUAUUCUCUAAAUUUAUGUGUGUGAAAAAUUAAUAUUUGUAGAUGGAGAGAAGAUAAUCCCAAAUGCUGCUGUUGAAAUGCACGAUGAAGUGCAUUCAUUAACCCGUAUUAUAGUUGCUUCAGUGAAUAAUUUAAUCACAAUCCAGUUUAUGCUGUGAAAAUUUAAUAUUCUCUAAAUUUAUGUGUGUGAAAAAUUAAUAUUCUCUAAAUUUAUGUGGUAAUUUUGUUAAGGUUAUAUAUACCCCUCCACCUCCUCUUCAUUCGUGGAGAGAGCCAUCAGAACACAUCUACACUUCCAACUCAUAUGUUCUGAGAGAGAACUACCUACCCUUGUGUUGAGGCCAAGAUAUUCCAUUCCUACCAUAUGAAUCUUGAUCUCUAGCCUUCCCCAAGUUGCUUUCCACUCAAAUCUUCUUUCCACCAAAUUCAAAUCCCGUGAGAGAGAGUUGAGUGUUGGGGAGACUAUCAUUUGAAGCACAAGAGCAAGGAGUUCAUCAUCAACACACCAUUUGUUACUUCUUGGAGAGUGGUGUCUCCUAGAUUGGCUAGGUGUCACUUGGGAGCCUCCGACAAGAUUGUGGAGUUGAACCAAGGAGUUUGUAAGGGCAAGGAGAUCGCCUACUUUGUGAAGAUCUACCGCUAGUGAGGCAAGUCCUUCGUGGGCGAUGGCCAUGGUGGGAUAGACAAGGUUGCUUCUUCGUGGACCCUUCGUGGGUGGAGCCCUCCGUGGACUCGCGCAACCCUUACCCUUCGUGGGUUGAAGUCUCCAUCAACGUGGAUGUAGGAUAGCACCACCUAUCCGAACCACGCCAAAAACAUUCUUGUCUCCAAUUGCGUUUGAAUUCUCCAAACCCUUCCCUUUACAUUCUUGCAAGUUGCAUGCUUUACUUUCCGCUGCCCAUAUACUCUUUGCAUGCUUGCUUGAUAUGUAUUGUGUAUGUUGAAAUUGUGCCCAAACUCCACUUAAACCGAAAAAAUUUAAAAGCUGCAACUUUAGUACUAAGUGUCUAAUCACCCCCCUCUAGACACAUCUUCUCAAGAUCCCACAAGUGGUAUCAGAGUUUUGGUCUCCAUUGCCUUGGUUUAAUCACCAUUGGAGGAAGAUGGAUGAGUCUACUUUGGGGAGUCUUAGACAUAGAGUGCCUAUUCUUGAUGGAGAGUAUUUUCAUGAGUGGAAAAAUAAGAUGCUUGUAAUUUUCAAUCAAUAUCAUUUGAACAAGUACAUUGCUAGUCCUUGUGCGCCUCAUGUUGAUCCUAUGCAUCCCACCCUAGAUGAAGAUAUUGACAUGAUUCGCAAUCUUAGAACUGUUGAGCUCAUCAUUAGAGGAUUGCCUAGAAACUUGAUUAGAUGUUUGCCUACUCUUGAGUGUGCUUAUACUAUAUGGAAAUUUCUUGAGGAACGAUUUCCUGAUUAUUCCUUAAAAAAUUUAGAUGAAAUUCUCCAUAAAUCUAUUGCCUUGAGUAAGAUGAACUCUAGUGAUCCUAGUUUCGGCAAUUGUCUAUUUGAGCUUACCAAUCUCAUGCGUGCUAAAGGAAAUGUUGGAAUCAUUAGUGAUAUCAUAUCCGAAGCUAUUAGAAUUCAUAAAGGUAACCACUUUGAUGAUCAUGUAACUAAUGAAUUACCCUCUCUAGGAUAUGAUCAAUCACAAGAUGAUGUUGAACAUGGAUACUAUGAUGAAGAUGAUGAUAGUGACUUCGAUCUUGAUGAUGAAAUGAGACAUUUUGCUCUUAUGGCAAAUCUUCGAGGAUAUGUGUCAGGAGGAAAGGAAUGGCUUCUUGACAAUGGAUGUACUGAUCAUAUGACCGGAGAUGAAGAGAUGUUCCGUGAGCUUGCUGAAAAUGACGGCCCUCGAAAAUAUGUCACCUUCGGUGAUAAUUCAAAGGGUAAGGUGGUUGGCCUUGAUAAGGUGGCCAUCUCACACGAUAGCUCCAUACAAAAUGUCACGCUCAUUGAAUCUCUUGGAUACAACUUACUUUCAGUAUCUAGACUUGCUGAUUUCGGUUUGAAUGUCCUAUUUACUAAGGUAGAUUGCCAAGUGUUUCGUCGAGACAAUCAUAAAAUGGUCUUUACCGGUAUACGUAGAGGUGAUCUUUACAUUGUCAAUUUCUCUAAAAAGGCACAACCUAAAACUUGCUUUAUCGCUAAAUCCUCAAAAGGUUGGUUGUGGCAUAGACGACUAGGUCACGUUGGCAUGAGAAACCUUGACAAGCUUAUUAAAGGAAAUCAUAUCCUUGGAGUUAACGAUGUUAUAUUUGAUGAAGAUAGACUUUGCAGUGCUUGUCAAGCAGGUAAACAGGUUGGAGGAAGGCAUCCCGUGAAGAACAUCAUGACCACAAGGAGGCCACUUGAGCUACUUCAUAUGGAUCUUUUUGGUCCCAACGCUUACAAGAGUCUCGGUGGAAAUUCUUUUGGUCUAGUUAUAGUUGAUGAUUUUUCAAGAUUUACGUGGGUGUUCUUUCUUGAUGACAAAUCGCAGGUCCAAAAGAUCUUCAAAAACUUUGCUAGGAAGGCCCAAAAUCAAUUUGAAGUGAAGAUCAAGAAGGUUCGGAGUGACAACGGAACGGAGUUCAAGAACGCAAAUGUGGACACCUUUCUUGACGAAGAAGGGAUUUCACACGAGUUCUCGGCUACGUACACACCUCAACAAAAUGGAGUUGUUGAGAGGAAGAACCGGACGCUCAUCGAAAUGGCGAGAACGAUGCUUGAUGAGUACAAGACGCCAAAGCACUUUUGGGCAGAAGCGGUUGAGACAGCUUGUCAUGCAACAAAUCGCUUGUAUCUUCACAAGCUACUCGGCAAGACGGCAUACGAGCUUCUCACCGGUAACAAACCCCAAGUUGGAUACUUUCGAGUAUUCGGCUCAAAAUGCUACAUUCUUGAUAAGCAUCAUCGUUCAAAGUUUGCUCCUAAAUCUCAUGAAGGUUUCCUACUUGGUUAUGGCUCAAACUCUCACACUUACCGUGUCUACAACAAUUUCAUCCAAAAGGUUGAAGAGACGGUAGAUGUGAAGUUUGAUGAAUCUAAUGGCUCGCAAGUAGAGCAAUUGCCAAUUGAUGUAGGAUACAAAGACCCUUCAGAAGCAAUCCAAGACUUAUCUAUUGGCAAAAUUCGUCCAAUGGAAAUAAAGGAGAGUACCUCGUCCAUCCAAGCGGAAGCUUCUACAUCACGUCAAGGUGAACCAAGAAUUGACACGGAAGCAUCCACAAGUGGGACACACCCAGAUGAAGAAGACGAGGAAAUGCAUCAAGACGAACGCCAACAACCUCCUUCUCCACCACGACAAGAGAACGACAACGAUGAAGAAGGCCAAGAAGAAGAACAAGAUGAAGAAGAUGUUCAACGAAGACCCAAGCAAAAGCUUUCACGAGUUCGAGCAAGAAUUGCUAAGGACCAUCCCGUCGAGCAAAUCUACAAUGAUAUUCAAACUGGGAGAAUCACUCGCUCAAAAACUCGUUUAGCUAACUUUUGUGAAAACUAUUCAUUCAUCUCUAGCAUUGAACCGAUGAAGGUUGAAGAAGCAUUGGAAGAUCCGGACUGGAUAAACGCUAUGCAUGAAGAGCUACACAACUUUGAGAGAAACCAAGUUUGGACAUUGGUUGAGAAGCCCGACAACAACCACAACAUCAUUGGUACCAAAUGGGUGUUUCGCAACAAGCAAUAUGAAUAUGGACAAGUGGUUCGCAACAAAGCACGUCUCGUCGCCCAAGGGUACACACAAGUCGAAGGUAUGGACUAUGGUGAGACAUAUGCUCCCGUUGCUAGACUUGAGUCCAUUCACAUCUUACUUGCCUAUGCUAAUCACCAUAAUAUCACCUUGUACCAAAUGGACAUUAAAAGUGCUUUUCUAAAUGGUGAAAUAGAGGAGGAAGUUUAUGUCAAACAACCUCCCGGCUUUGUCAAUCCUAAGAAACCAAAUCAUGUUUACAAACUUCAUAAAGCCCUUUAUGGUCUUAAACAAGCUCCUAGAGCAUGGUAUAAAUGCUUGACCAAGUUCCUUAUUGCAAGUGGUUUUGAAAUUGGAAAAAUUGAUUCCACACUUUUUACUAAAAGAGUUAAUGGAGAACUAUUUCUAUGCCAAAUUUAUGUUGAUGAUAUCAUAUUUGGUUCAACUAACCCUCUUUUUAGUGAAAAGUUUGGAAAGCUAAUGUCGAAGAAGUUUGAGAUGUCUAUGAUGAGUGAACUCAAAUUCUUUCUCGGUUUGCAAAUCAAGCAAACUAAGGAAGGUACAUUUGUCUCUCAAACGAAGUACACCAAAGACUUAUUCAAGAAGUUCAAUAUGCAAGAAUGCAAAGGUAUGCCUACACCCAUGCCUACUAGUGGACAUAAUGAUUUGACCAAAGAUGGUGAACCGGUUGAUCAAAAGGUUUAUCGCUCUAUGAUUGGUUCAUUGUUAUACCUAUGUGCUUCACGUCCCGAUAUUAUGCUAAGUGUGUGCAUGUGUGCACGAUAUCAAGCUACUCCUAAAGAAUGUCAUCUUAAGGCCGUGAAAAGGAUAGUGAGAUACUUAAUUCAUACACCAAAUUUUGGCAUUUGGUAUCCUAAGAGGUCUUCUUUUGAUCUUGUUGGUUAUUCCGACUCGGAUUAUGCCGGAGACAAGGUUGAUAGAAAGUCCACUUCGGGUACUUGCCAAUUUCUUGGUAGAUCCCUUGUGUCUUGGUCCUCCAAGAAACAAAACUCAGUAUCCUUAUCCACCGCCGAAGCGGAAUAUAUUGCCGCUGGUUCAUGUUGUGCUCAAUUACUUUGGAUGACCCAAACUCUUAAAGAUUAUGGGAUCUAUGUGAAACAUGUUCCAUUUCUUUGUGACAAUGAAAGUGCUAUCAAAAUUGGUCAUAAUCCUGUACAACAUUCUCGAACUAAGCAUAUUGAAGUUCAUCAUCAUUUCAUUCGAGAUCAUGUUGCUAAGGGUGACAUUGAUCUUAAGCAUGUUCGCAUCGAUAAGCAAUUAGCAGAUAUAUUCACGAAACCACUUGAUGAGAAAGUGUUUUGCAGGUUGAGAGGUGAAUUGAACGUUAUUGAUGCUUCGAACUUGGAGUAGGAACUCCAUUGGAGACAUGCAAGACAUGAGCUUAUGACUAAUCCAUGAUAUAUCUCUUAUGAUGAUUAUCUUAUAUCUUGGACAAAUUUGCAUCUUGCAUGUUAUCUAACCCAUGUAGGUACUUGGUUGAAUCAAAUUCUAUGAGAUUGCAACUCACUCACAUCUUAAGCAAUCUCUACAUCACCAAGUCUCUACACAAUGGUGGUUGAAGACAAGGAAGCACAAAACCAUUCAAACAUAUCCUUUGACAAAUUCUAUGUUGAGCUUCAUGAUUAUCAUUUUUGGAUACAUAAGUGCUCUUCCUUGCAAGAACUAACCCAUGUAGGUAGAUGAACUCGAACUCCAAGUGCUGCUCCCAACUCUUGAUGAACUACAUCAACCUUGAGCACCCACACAAGUUCAACUACAUGAGCAAGAUCCACACCACCACCGAAGGUAUGUUAUUCCAUCUUAGAGAAGCUUUACUCCAAGUCAGGAGUCAAAGCAACUCAACAAGAUGUGAAUACAUCAAGAUGCUUAAAUGAAAAAUGGUAACCCCAUUUUGAGCUUAAACGAUGAGUAUGACCUAUGAUCAAGUGAUCUCACUUGACUCCUAAGUCAAUAUACUCUAACAUAGGUGACUAUGUCACCGCCCAACUCUAGAUGAAGUUCUCUUGUGUUCUUUUCUGUGUUAUUGCAUUUGUCCCUUGCAUAUUUGUUUUCCUUUUUCAAAAAAAAACUUCAUCUAGAAAUUUCAUUCUUUUCUUUUUGUUUUUGUUCUGCAUUUUCUGCAUCAAAUUCAUUGCAAAUCUUUCAGAUAAUUCAUUGCAAAUCUUUGUGAAAUCUUACUUGUCUAGUGAGCUGAGGUGACAAGUGUUUUUCUCUGUGAUGAACUCGGUUUCACCGACUUGUAGUUUUCGGUCCAACCGAAUCCUUUCGGUAUCACCGAAACAUGCCACUCGGUGCCACCGAAUUCACAACAGGAAAAACAGUUUGCCACUUGUUCUAUAUUUCUUCUGAUCCAGCUCCACUCAAUGAAUCUUGUCCUCUACAAGCAUCACAGUUUUAUCCAUUACUUUGUGCUGAGUCUCAAGGACCAAACCCAUUCGACAGAUUCCAGAAAGCCCUUCUUGGAAAUUGAUGUCAAAGGGGGAGAGAGAGAUCACAUCAAAGCUUAUCACCUACAAGAGAGAAUAUUAAGGGGGAGAAAGAGAUCUCCAGGGGGAGAGAAUACUCAAGGACCCCAAAUGCUUGAUGUUCAAGAGGAGAGAUGCCACAUGUCUUUUUGGGGGAAAGACAUGCUCAUAUGUGCUUAUUUGCAUUAAGAUCUAUUCAUUCAUAUCUUUCAGCUCUAUUUUUCUGUUCCCUAUCUUCUCCCAAUAUCCCAUGUCAUAUUCAGGGGGAGCAAGACAUCUAAGGGAAAGAAAUCAUUCAAAUUCAUUGCAUAUCUUUACUCUUGGGGACAUGUCUAAACCAAUGUGGUACCUUGUACUCACUCUCUACAUGUCAUCCCAGUCUUGGUAUUCUUGUGGUUUUCUUUGGUUUGCUCUGGCUAGUGGAUGUACCUGUGUUAUCUAACCUUGUUUGUGCAGGUUCAUUCCAUCCUAAGCAAACUCAAGACUACAAGGUAAGUAUAUGCAUCAAAAUCAUGAGAAUGAGUAAUUCUUGCUUAUGUACAUACUGUUUGCAAGAAGGACUCAUGAGCAUGAAGGUAUUUUUCUUAAUAAUCUUUUGCUCUGAUGCAUAUGGCCAAGAUACAUGUAACACAUUGCCUACUCUGUCAUGGUUAUGCUCUCACAUGCUUCUAUGUUUCAUAUUCACAUGAUUGCAUACAUGUAGGGGGAGCCUAUGUUUGUUACAUGUCCUUCCAAAGCUUUACUUGCUUUUCUUUAUAUCUUAAUCUAAAGCUUUGAUGUAUGUUGCCAUCAAUUACCAAAAAGGGGGAGAUUGAAAGCACAAGUGCUCCCUAGGUGGUUUUGGUAAUUAAUGUCAACAUAUCUCUUGUUGGACUAACACUUUUAUCUAGUAUCUUUCAGAUAAGUUCAACAAUGGAGUGGCAUGGACUAAAGGUUGUGGGAACUCCUUCAAGAUGCUAAGGACAAAGGAUUGGCUAAAGCUUCAAGCUCAAGACUCUUCAUUUUACAUUUUAGUGAUCCAAGAUCACAUUGAGUCUAUAGGAAAAGCCAAUACUAUUAAUAAGGGAUGAGGUGUUGCUUAAUGAGCCUCUUGCUUCAUGUGCUUUGUGAUAUGCUCCAAAACCCUCAGCUACUUUCCCACUUCCACUUUUGACCUAAACCUAAAGUCAAACUCGGCCCUACCGAUUAUCCGGCGCCACCGAGUUUCAUUUGUCAUAGCCACUGCCAAAGCCUGGCAAAUCGGUUUCACCGAUAGGGAUCUCGGUCUCUCCGAGAUGUGAUUGUAAUCUCUGUGUGUAUGUCCAUUACCAAAAUCGGUCUCACCGAGUUUAGGAAAUCGAUACUACCGAGACUACAAAGCAAACUCUCUGGUUAACUUAUUACCAAGAUCGGUCCAACCGAGAUUAGUAAUCGGUCCCACCGAGUUUGCCUGACCAACUCUCUGGUUAGCUAAUUACCAAAAUCGGUCUCACCGAGUUUGUGUAAUCGGUCUCACCGAGAUUACGUUAUGCCCUAACCCUAACCAUAUCGGUCCUACCGAGUUGCAUGUCGGUCCCACCGAAAUCUCUAACGGUCACUAGAUUUACUAAAUCGGUCCGAUCGAGUUUGUUGAUUCGGUCCCACCGAGAUUGGUAAAUUGUGUGUAACGGUUGGAUUUUGUGUGGAGGCUAUAUAUACCCCUCCACCUCCUCUUCAUUCGUGGAGAGAGCCAUCAGAACAUAUCUACACUUCCAACUCAUAUGUUCUGAGAGAGAACUACCUACCCUUGUGUUGAGGCCAAGAUAUUCCAUUCCUACCAUAUGAAUCUUGAUCUCUAGCCUUCCCCAAGUUGCUUUCCACUCAAAUCUUCUUUCCACCAAAUCCAAAUCUUGUGAGAGAGAGUUGAGUGUUGGAGAGACUAUCAUUUGAAGCACAAGAGCAAGGAGUUCAUCAUCAACACACCAUUUGUUACUUCUUGGAGAGUGGUGUCUCCUAGAUUGGCUAGGUGUCACUUGGGAGCCUCCGACAAGAUUGUGGAGUUGAACGAAGGAGUUUGUAAGGGCAAGGAGAUCGCCUACUUUGUGAAGAUCUACCGCUAGUGAGGCAAGUCCUUCGUGGGCGAUGGCCAUGGUGGGAUAGACAAGGUUGCUUCUUCGUGGACCCUUCGUGGGUGGAGCCCUCCGUGGACUCGCGCAACUGUUACCCUUCGUGGGUUGAAGUCUCCAUCAACGUGGAUGUAGGAUAGCACCACCUAUCCGAACCACGCCAAAAACAUCCUUGUCUCCAAUUGCGUUUGAAUUCGCCAAACCCUUCCCUUUACAUUCUUGCAAGUUGCAUGCUUUACUUUCCGCUGCCCAUAUACUCUUUGCAUGCUUUCUUGAUAUGUAUUGUGUAUGUUGAAAUUGUGCCCAAACUCCACUUAAACCAAAAAAAUUUAAAAACUACAACUUUAGUACUAAGUGUCUAAUCACCCCCCUCUAGACACAUCUUCUCAAGAUCCCACACUAGCCAUCUGCAUCCUUCUUCCUCCUCGCGCAAGAACAGAACACCACGCCAUCGCACCGCUCUGCCCAUGCUCUUCGCCAACCUUCCACCCCUUCGGUCACCAUGGCUCCGAAGAUGGUCAAUCUAGACGCGGAAGCGAGGAACGCUGCCAUAGCCAAACAGUGGAGGGAGAAUCUGGUUUUCCUUCCAACGCUGCAGGCUCACGACACUACAAAAAAAUACACUUCCGUGAUGAUACGUGUUUGUCCCAGUAGGUCACGUUUUUUGUCAUGCAUGUACAUCUAUGACGAUUUUAUGACAGAAUCAAGAUAGUCAUACCUGUGCUGUCGUAGAAGUGUUCCAUGACACUAUCAAGAUUAUCAUCACGAAAGUGUCCACUUCCAUGACGAUAAAUCACGCGUCACAGAAUUGCUUUCGUCAAGGGUUACCGACACGUGGCAUCCACCGUAAUGGGUCGCCGUUAAGCUAUCGGGUUCCAAUUUGGAUCCGAUAACCCGUUAACAACCCGGACCAAUGGGGAUUUUCCACGUGUAAAAUUCUCAAUGGCCAGAGUAACCAUGUGUCGGCUCGUCGUUGGGACAUAUGUCAUCCACUCAUUGGACCGAAGGCGCCUAUGAUUCAUCGACACAUGGCAUGGCCCAACAGAGGCCCAUUCCAGUGAAAAGGCCGACCCGUUUAACUUGGUCAAAAGGUAGCGGGCCAGCCCACGGAAAGCCUGUUAACGGUCUGUUCGCAUAUAGCCCAUUUACAGCCUGCUAACUCACGGUGUAGCGGAAUUUGGCCCAGUAGCGUCAUCUGGGCCGUCCAAUAUGAUACCAGCCCAUUGUAACUUCCGGCCCAUGUAUGGCCCAUGACGUCUUUCGGCCCAUAGGAGGCCCUUUGUGUAGGGGAACGUAGCAGAAAUUCAAAAUUUUCUACGCAUCACCAAGAUCAAUCUAUGGAGUCAUCUAGCAACGAGGGAUGAGUGGAUCUACAUACCCUUGUAGAUCGCGCGUGGAAGCAUUCAAGAGAACGGGGUUGAUGGAGUCAUACUCGUCGUGAUCCAAAUCACCGAUGAUCCUAGCGCCGAACGGACGGCACCUCCGCGUUCAACACACGUACGGAGCAGCGAUGUCUCCUCCUUCUUGAUCCAGCAAGGGGGGAGGAGAGGUUGAUGGAGAUCCAGCAGCACGACGGCGUGGUGGUGGAAGUAGCGGGAUUCCAACAGGGCUUCGCCAAGCGCUGCGGGAGGAGGGAGAUGUGUCAUGGGAGGGAGAGGGAGGCGCCAGGGCUCAGGUUGGUGCUGCCCUCCCUUCCCCCCACUAUAUAUAGGGCCAAGGGAGAGGGGGGGGGGCGCAGCCUUGGCCCUUCCUCCAAGGAAGGGUGCGGCCAGGGAGGAGUCCCUCCUCCCCAAGGCACCUCGGAGGUGCCUUCCCCCUUUAGGACUCUUCCUUUUCCUCUUCUCUUGGAGCAUGGGCCUCUUGGGGCUGGUGCCCUUGGCCCAUAUAGGCCAAGGCGCACCCCCUACAGCCCAUGUGCCCCCCCGGGGCAGGUGGCCCCACCCGGUGGACCCCCGGGACCCUUCCGGUGGUCCCGGUACAAUACGGGUGACCCCGAAACUUGUCCCGAUGGCCGAAAUAGCACUUCCUAUAUAUAAUUCUUUACCUACGGACCAUUCCAGAACUCCUCGUGACGUCCGGGAUCUCAUGCGGGACUCCGAACAACUUUCGGGUUACCGCAUACUAAUAUCUCUAUAACCCUAGUGUCACCGAACCUUAAGUGUGUAGACCCUAUGGGUUCGGGAGACAUGCAGACAUGACCGAGAUGACUCUCCGGUCAAUAACCAACAGCGCGAUCUGGAUACCCAUGUUGGCUCCCACAUGUUCCACGAUGAUCUCAUCGGAUGAACCACGAUGUCAAGGACUUAAUCAAUCCCGUAUACAAUUCCCUUUGUCUAUCGGUAUGAUACUUGCCCGAGAUUCGAUCGUUGGUAUCCCGAUACCUUGUUCAAUCUCGUUACCGGCAAGUCUCUUUACUCGUUCCGUAACACAUCAUCCCGUGAUCAACUCCUUGAUCACAUUGUGCACAUUAUGAUGAUGUCCUACCGAGUGGGCCCAGAGAUACCUCUCCGUUUACACGGAGUGACAAAUCCCAGUCUCGAUUCGUGCCAACCCAACAGACACUUUCGGAGAUACCUGUAGUGUACCUUUAUAGCCACCCAGUUACGUUGUGAUGUUUGGCACACCCAAAGCACUCCUACGGUAUCCGGGAGUUGCACAAUCUCAUGGUCUAAGGAAAUGAUACUUGACAUUAGAAAAGCUUUAGCAUACGAACUACAUGAUCUUGUGCUAGGCUUAGGAUUGGGUCUUGUCCAUCACAUCAUUCUCCUAAUGAUGUGAUCCCGUUAUCAACGACAUCCAAUGUCCAUGGUCAGGAAACCGUAACCAUCUAUUGAUCAACGAGCUAGUCAACUAGAGGCUUACUAGGGACAUGGUGUUGUCUAUGUAUCCACAGAUGUAUCUGAGUUUCCUAUUAAUACAAUUAUAGCAUGGAUAAUAAACGAUUAUUAUGAACAAGGAAAUAUAAUAAUAACUAUUUAUUAUUGCCUCUAGGGCAUAUUUCCAACAGUCUCCCACUUGCACUAGAGUCAAUAAUCUAGUUCACAUCGCCAUGUGAUUAACACUCACAGGUCACAUCGCCAUGUGACCAACAUCCAAAGAGUUUACUAGUGUCACUAAACUAGUUCACAUCAUCAUGUGAUUAAGACUCAAUGAGUUCUGGGUUUGAUCAUGUUUUGCUUGUGAGAGAGGUUUUAGUCAACGGGUCUGCAACAUUCAGAUCCGUAUGUACUUCGCAAAUUUCUUAUGUCAUCUUGUAGAUGCAACUGCUACACUACAUUUGGAGCUAUUCCAAAUAACUGUUCUACUAUACGAAUCCAGUUUACUACUCACAAUAAUCUGGAUUAGUGUCAAAGUUUGCAUCGGCGUAACCCUUUGCGACGAACUCUUUUACCACCUCCAUAAUUGAGAAAAUUCCUUAGUCCACUAGUUACUAAGGAUAACUUUGACCGCUGUCCUGUGAUCCAUUCUUAGAUCACUCUUGUACCCCUUGACUGACUCAUGGCAAGGCACAUUUCAGGUGCGGUACACAACAUAGCAUACUGUAGAGAGCCUAUGAUAAAAGCAUAGGGGACGACCUUCGUCCUUCCUCUUUCUUCUGCCGUGGUCAAGCUUUAAGUCUUAACUUCAUACCUUACAACUCAGGCAAGAACUCCUUCUUUGACUGAUCCAUCUUGAACACCUUCAAGAUCAUGUCAAGGUAUGUGCUCAUUUGAAAGUACCAUUAAGCGUUUUGAUCUAUCCUUAUAGAUCUUGAUGCUCAAUGUUCAAGUAGCUUAAUCCAGGCUUUCCAUUGAAAAACACUUUCCAAAUAACCCUAUAUGCUUUCCAGAAAUUCUACGUCAUUUCCGAUCAACAAUAUGUCAACAACAUAUAUUCAUCAGAAAUUCUAUAGUGCUCCCACUCACUUCUUUGGAAAUACAAGUUUCUCAUAAACUUUGUAUAAACCCAAAAUCUUUGAUCAUCAUCAAAGCAUACAUUCCAACUCUGAGAUGCUUACUCCAGUCCCUAGAAGGAUUGCUGGAGCUUUGCAUACUUAUUAGCAUCUUUCAGGAUUGACAAAACCUUCCGGUUUGUAUCACAUACAACCUUUCCUCAAAAAACAUCGAGGAAACAAUGUUUUGACAUCCUAUCUGCAAGAUUUCAUAAAUAAUGUAGUAGUCGCUAAUAUAAUUCCAACAGACUCUUAGCAUCGCUACGAGUGAGAAAGUCUCAUCGUAGUCAACUCCUUGAACUUGUCGGAAAACAUCUUAACGACAAGUCGAGCUUUCUUAAUGGUGACAUUUACCAUCAUUGUCCGUCUUCCUUUUAAAAUCCAUCUGCACUCAACAGCCUCAUGACCAUCGAGCUGUUCUGUCAAAGUCUACACUUUGUUUCCAUACAUGGAUCCUCUCUCGGAUUUUAUGGCCUCGAGCCAUUUAUCGGAAUCCGGGCCCACCAUUGCUUCUCCAUAGCUCGUAGGUUCAUUGUUGUCUAGCAACAUGACUUCCAAGACAGGAUUACGUACCACUCUGAAGUAGUACGCAUCCUUGUCAUCCUACGAGGUUUGGUAGUGACUUGGUCUGAAGUUUCAUGAUCACUAUCAUAAGCUUCCACUUCAAUUGGUGUAGGUGCCACAGGAACAACUUCCUGUGCCCUGCCACACACUAGUUGAAGAGACGGUUCAAUAACCUCAUCAAGUCUCCACCAUCCUCCCACUCAAUUCUUUCGAGAGAAACUUUUCCUCGAGAAAGGACCCGAUUCUACAAACAAUCCCUUAUUGCUUUCGGAUCUGAGACAGGAGGUAUACCCAACUGUUUUGGGUGUCCUAUGAAGAUGCAUUUAUCCGCUUUGGGUUCGAGCUUAUCAGCCUGAAACCUUUUCACAUAAGCGUCGUAGCCCCAAACUUUUAAGAAAUGACAGCUUAGGUUUCCCUAAACCAUAGUUCAUACGGUGUCAUCUCAUUGGAAUUACGUGGUGCCCUAUUUAAAGUGAAUGCGGUUGUCUUUAAUGCCUAACCCAUAAACUAUCGUGGUAAUUCGAUAAGAGACAUCAUGGUAUGCAUCAUAUCCAAUAGGGUGCAGUUAUGAUGUUCGGACACACCAUCAUACUAUGGUGUUCCAGGCUGUAUUAGUUGUGAAACAAUUUCCACAAUGUCUUAAUUCUGUGCCAAACUCGUAAUUCAGAUAUUCAUCUCUAUGAUCAUAUCAUAGAUCUUUUAUCCUCUUGUCACGACGAUCUUUCAACUUCACCCUGAAAUUACUUGAACCUUUCAAUAAUUCAGACUUGUGAUCCAUCAAGUAAAUAUACUCAACAUCUACUCAAAUCAUCUGUGAAGUAAGAACAUAACGAUAUCCACUACAUGCCUCAACACUCAUUGGAUUGCACACAUCAAAAUGUAUUACUUCCAACAAGUUGCUUUCUAGUUCCAUUUUACUGAAAACGAGGCUUUCAGUCAUCUUGCCCACGUGGUAUGAUUUGCAUGUCUCAAGUGAUUCAAAAUCAAGUGGGUCCAAACGGUCCAUUUGCAUGGAGUUUCUUCAUGCAUAUACACCAAUAGACAUGGUUCGCAUGUCUCAAACUUUUCAAAAAUGAGUGAGCCCAAAGAUCCAUCAACAUGGAGCUUCUUCAUGCGUUUUAUACCGAUAUGACUUACGUGGCAGUGCCACAAGUAGGUGGUACUAUCAUUACUAUCUUUUGGCAUGAACAUGUGUAUCACUACGAUCGAGAUUCAAUGAACCAUUCAUUUUAGGUGCAAGACCAUUGAAGGUAUUAUUCAAAAAAAAAAAACAGAGUAACCGUUAUUCUCCUUAAAUGAAUAACCGUAUUGCGAUAGACAUAAUCCAAUCAUGUCUAUGCUCAACGCAAACACCAAUCUCGAUGGUAGAGGGAGCGUACGAUAUUUGAUCAACCUUGGAAAUACUUCCAACACAUAUCGUCAUCUCACCUUUUAGCUAGUCUCCGUUUAUUCCGUAGCUUUUAUUUCGAGUUACUAACACUUAGCAACCAAACCAGUAUCUAAUACCCUGGUGCUACUAGGAGUACUAGUAAAGUACACAUUAACACAAUGUAUAUCCAAUAUACUUCUAUCGACCUUGCCAGCCUUCUCAUCUACCAAGUAUCUAGGGUAAUUCUGCUCCAGUGGCUGUUCCCCUUAUUAUAGAAGCACUUAGUCUUGGGUUUGGGUUCAACCUUGGGUUCGUUUCAUGAAGCAUCCCUUUUUGCCCUUGCCCUUCUUGAAACUAGUGGUUUCACCAACCAUCAACAAUUGAUGCUCCUUCUUGAUCUCUACUUUUGUGGUGUCAAACAUAGCGAAUAUCUCAAGGAUCAUCAUAUAUGUCCCUGAUAUAUUAUAGUUCAUCACGAAGCUCAAGCAGCUUGGUGGUAAUGACUUCGAAGAAACAUCACUUUCUCAUCUGGAAGAUCAACUCCCACUCGAUUCAAGUGAUUGUUGUACUCAGACAAUCUGAGCACCAGUUCAACAAUUGAGCUUUUCUCCCUUAGUUUGCAGGCUAAGAAAAUCGUCGGAGGUCUUAUACCUCUUGACGCGGGCACGAGCCUGAAAUCCCAAUUUCAGCCCUCGAAACAUCUCAUAUGUUUCGUGACAUUUCAAAACCGUCUUCGGUGCCUCAAUUCUAAACCGUUUAACUGAACUAUCACGUAGUUAUCAAAAUGUGUAUGUCAGAUGUUCGCAACAUCCACAGACGACGUUCGAGGUUCAGCACACUGAGCGGUGCAUUAAGGACAUAAGCCUUCUAUGAAGCAAUGAGGAAAAUCCUCAGUUUACGGACCUAGUCCGCAUAAUUGCUACUAUCAACUUUCAACUAAAUUUUCUCUAGGAACAUAUCUAAACAGUAGAACUAAAGCGCGAGCUUCGACAUAAUUUGCGAAGACCUUUUGACUAUGUUCAGGAUAAUUAAGUUCAUCUUAUGAACUCCCACUCAGAUAGACAUCCCUCUAGUCAUCUAAGUGAUUACAUGAUCCGAGUCAACUAGGCCGUGUCCGAUCAUCACGUGAGACGGACUAGUCAACAUCGGUGAACAUCUUCAUGCUGAUCGUAUCUACCAUAUGACUCAUGCUCGACCUUUCGGUCUUCUGUGUUCCGAGGCCAUGUCUGUACACAUGCUAGGCUCGUCAAGUCAACCUAAGUGUUUCACGUGUGUAAAUCUGUCUUACACCCGUUGUAUGUGAACGUUAGAAUCUAUCACACCCGAUCAUCACGUGGUGCUUCGAAACAACGAACUGUCGCAACGGUGCACAGUUAGGGGGAACACUUUCUUGAACUUUUAAUGAGGGAUCAUCUUAUUUACUACCGUCGUUCUAAGUAAACAAGAUGCAAAAACAUGAUAAACAUCACAUGCAAUCAAAUAGUGACAUGAUAUGGCCAAUAUCAUAUAGCUCCUUUGAUCUCCAUCUUGGGGCUCCAUGAUCAUCUUCUCACCGGCAUGACACCAUGAUCUCCAUCAUCAUGAUCUCCAUCAUCGUGUCUUCAUGAAGUUGUCUCGUCAACUAUUACUUCUACUACUAUAGCUAACAGUUAGCAAUAAAGUAAAGUAAUUACAUGACGUUUAUGUUGACACGCAGGUCAUAAAUAAAUUAAGACAACUCCUAUGGCUCCUGCCGGUUGUCAUACUCAUCGACAUGCAAGUCGUGAUUCCUAUUACAAGAACAUGAUCAAUCUCAUACAUCACAUAUAUCAUUCAUCACAUCCUUUUGUCCAUAUCACAUCACAUAGCAUACCCUGCAAAAACAAGUUAGACGUCCUCUAAUUGUUGUUUGCAUGUUUUACGUGGCUGCUAUGGGUUUCUAGCAAGAACGUUUCUUACCUACGCAAAAACCACAACGUGAUAUGUGUAAUGCCCUCGAUGCGGCUAUAGCUCCCACGUGUCGAGGCACGGCUUAGAGGCAUAACCGCAUUGAAAGCAAUGUCGCAAGUCAGGCAAUCAUUACAACAUCCCAUGUAAUACAUAAUAAAAAGGGGGAGAUAACAUAGUUGGCUUACACUCGCCACGUCACAUCAGAGUACAUAAAUAACAUCCAUCAAACAAGCACUCAUGGCCCGACUACGGCGCCAAAAUAGAAAAGACCCCCAACAUGCGACAAGGUCCUGAAUCGAUAACCCCAACUAGGCACCACUACUGAUCAUCCGGAAAAGAAACAUAGUAUCGCUGAGAGUCCUCGUCGAACUCCCACUUGAGCUCGUACUCGUCACCUGGAGCGGACUCACCUGGACCUGCAUCUGGAGUUGUAGUAUCUGUGAGCCACAGGGACUCAGCAAUCUCACACCCACGCGAUCAAGACUAUUUAAGCUCAUAGGAAUGGAUAAGGCCAAUAUGUGUGGAGCUGCAGCAAGCGACUAGCAUAUGUGGUGGCUAACUUAUACGCAAAAGAGAGCGAGAAGAGAAGGCGAAGCACGAGCGAGAAGCUAAAGGAACAUCCUGCGCAAGCAUAACUCCAACACCGUGUCCACUUCCCGAACUCCGCCGAGAAGGGGCCAUCACGGUAACACACACGGUUGAUUCAUUUUAAUUAAGUUUAAUUAAAGUUAUCUACAACCGGACAUUAACAAAUUCCCAUCUGCCCAUAACCGCGGGCACGGCUUUCGAAAGAUCAAUCCCUGCAGGGGGGUCCCAACUUAGCCCAUAACAAGCUCUCACGGUCAACGAAGGAAUAGACCUCCACCCAAGACACACCGAUCAGACUCGGUAUCUCGGUACAACAAGAUGAUUCGGCAGGUUAAAACAAGUCCAGCAACACCGCCCGAAUGUGCCGACAAAUCCCGAUAGGAGCUGCACAUAUCUCUUUCUCAGGGCACGCUCGGAUAGGUCAAGCUACGAGUAAAACCAAACCUCAAGUUUCCCCGAGGUGGCCCCGCAGGCUGCCUGGUUCGGACCAACACUCAGAGGAGCACUGGCCCGGGGGGGGUUAAAAUAAGAUGACCCUCGGGCUCCGGAAACCCAAGGGAAAAAUAGGCUAGGUGACAAAUGGUAAAACCAAUGUUGGGCAUUGCUGGAAAAGCUUUAAUCAAGACGAACUAUCAAGGGGUUCCCAUUAUAGCCCAACCGUGUAAGGGACGCAACAUUCCGGGAACAUAACACCGAUAUGACGGAAACUAGGGCGGCAAGAGUGGAACAAAACACUAGGCGAGAGGCCGAGCCUUCCACCCUUUACCAAGUAUAUAGAUGCGUUAAGAUAACAUAGCAAUAUAAUGAUAUCCCAACAAGCAAUAUAAAUGUUCCAACAAGGAACGGCUCCAAUCUUCACCUGCAACUAACAACGCUAUAAGAAGGGCUGAGCAAGCGGUAACAUAGCCAAUCAACGGUUUGCUAGGACAAAGGUGGGUUAGAGGUUCAACAUGGCAAUUGGGAGGCUGACAAGCAAAAGGUAGGCAUCGAAGCAGUGGCAAGCAAAAGAGCGAGCAAACUAGCAUAGCAAAGAUAGUAGUGAUUUCGAGGGUAUGAUCAUCUUGCUUGCACAGUUGUCAGAGUUGACUGGAUCCUCACAAGCAAACUCAACGGGCUCCUCGGUAGCGAACUCGUCUCCCGGCUCUACCCAAAGACAAACAAGCAACAAGGACACAAUCAACCACGGGCAAGACCAAGCAACAUGAUGAAAUGACGAUAUGCUAUGCGGGAUGCGAUGCGGGAUGCAAAAUGCAAGAUAUGACAGGAAAUGCAUGAACCUGGCAUCAACUUGGAAAACCAAGUGUGCCACUGGAUAGAGGGGAUGAAAUCGCUUGAAAACGAUAUAAAGAUCAUAGGAAUCGGAGCUACGGUUUGGAAAUGGCAAGCGUUUUAAGAUAUGACACCGGUCUGCGAUUUAUAGCAAGUAGGCAUCUAAAUGCAACGAAAAGAACAUGCUACAGCCACCAAACAUGAAAACAAAAUAUAUGGCAGUGAUGUACACAAGAUGGUUGACAAAACACUAGCACUGAGCCAUAGGCAAAUUCAUCCAUUAAGAGGUUCAAACAAGCAUGGCUAAAACGCAAAUGCAAAACAGAUUUCAGACUUAGUGAAAUUAACACUAGUCUGAAAUUUCAGACCACGAAGCCCUCUUCGGAGCAGCAAAACAACAUGAUAGAAAACCUGAACAUGACAAGUAAGAACAUGGCAUGGAGCUACUCAACAAGCUUAACAAAACACCCAAAGUGACCUGGGGCCAAAAGGGUUCACAAAAUACUCUACCGAGCUCACGAACAUCGCUCGAACACAAUCAGUUUUCAGACUUAGUGAAAACUGAGACAUGCUGAAAUUUAACUCACGAAGGCAUGUAAACGAGCUCGAUGCACUCACUACGGUGCAAGUCAUGGCAAGGAAAGCAUAUCACCAGCAAGAAGGCACAAAGUUCUAGCUACACAUGGCAGGAACGAAGGCAUAGCAUGCAUGGAACGCUAACGGUAGCAUCGGCGAAAUCGCAAACAAGUUGACGAUCUGCCCAGAUUAACAAUGAAGCAAAAGUUGAGCUCGAUUGAGUCAACCUAGAGCACUCCACAAAUGCAAACAAAGACAUGGAUGGAUAGAGCAUAACAUAAAUAUCAAAACUCCCUUACUGAUCAUCCUCAAAAGAGGCACGGAUCACUAGGAAACAAGCUGGACAUAUAGCAUCAUGAACUAAAAUAUCCCAGACUUAGCGAAAAUCGCUAAGUCCCUGAAAUCUGCAAUCUCAGGUACCUCUCUUCGCAAGCUUGCACAAGACAACACACACAUCCUAAAAAUGCAUGGGUGGCACCUCUGGAAAGAAGACAAAAUGCUUCCCAAUUCAUCCCAAAGGGGCACAGGCAUAUCAUGCACGAAUUAAAUAUAGCAAAAAUGACAAAAGUGCAUGAUGAACUAANNNNNNNNNNNNNNNNNNNNNNNNNNNNNNNNNNNNNNNNNNNNNNNNNNNNNNNNNNNNNNNNNNNNNNNNNNNNNNNNNNNNNNNNNNNNNNNNNNNNUUGGUGGGUUUUGGGCCAAAUUUGGGGGGUGUUGGGCUGCAACACACACGAGGCCUUUUCGGUCCCUCGGUUAACCGUUGGAGUAUCAAACGAAGUCCAAAUGACCCGAAACUUGACAGGCGGUCUACCGGUAGUAAACCAAGGCCGCUUGGCAAGACUCGGUCCAAUCCGGAAAUGUUUAAACCCCACACGAGAAAGAAAGGUAGAAAUGACCACCGGAGGAGAACGAAACGCCGGAAUGCAAAACGGACAACGGGGAAAAUGCUCGAAUGCAUGAGACGAACAUGUAUGCAAAUGCAAUGCACGUGAUGACAUGAUAAGAGAUGCACGAAAAAGAAAACAACACACGGAGACAAAGACCCAAACCCGAGAAAUAAAUAUAACUUAGCGCCGGAGACGGCAAGAGUUGGAUACAAAAAAUGGAAAGUAUAUCUGGGGCGUUACAAUAUGCCAAUUUCUAUUUACCCUUCAUAAGGACCCUUUUCAUCGAAUCCGAUCCGACUAAAGUGGGAGAGACAGACACCCGCCAGCCACCUAAUGCAACUAGUGCAUGUCAGUCGGUGGAACCGGUCUCACGUAAGCGUACGUGUAAGGUUGGUCUGGGCCGCUUCAUCCCACGAUUCUGCCGAAUCAAGAUAAGACUAGUAACGGCAAGCAUAUUGAACAAAAUCAAUGCCCACAACUACUUUGUGUUCUACUCGUGCAUAGAAACUACGCAUAGACCUAGCUCAUGAUGCCACUGUAGGGGAACGUAGUAGAAAUUCAAAAUUUUCUACGCAUCACCAAGAUCAAUCUAUGGAGUCAUCUAGCAACGAGGGAGGAGUGGAUCUACAUACCCUUGUAGAUCGCGCGCGGAAGCAUUCAAGAGAACGGGGUUGAUGGAGUCGUACUCAUCGUGAUCCAAAUCACCGAUGAUCCUAGCGCCGAACGGAUGGCACCUCCGCGUUCAACACACGUACGGAGCAGCGACGUCUCCUCCUUCUUGAUCCAGCAAGGGGGGAGGAGAGGUUGAUGGAGAUCCAGCAGCACGACGGCGUGGUGGUGGAAGUAGCGGGAUUCCAACAGGGCGUGGUGGUGGGAGGAGGGAGAUGUGUCAUGGGAGGGAGAGGGAGGCGCCAGGGCUCAUGUUGGUGCUGCCCUCCCUUCCCCCCACUAUAUAUAGGGCCAAGGGAGAGGGGGGGGGGGCACAGCCUUGGCCCUUCCUCCAAGGAAGGGUGCGGCCAGGGAGGAGUCCGUCCUCCCCAAGGCACCUCGGAGGUGCCUUCCCCCUUUAGGACUCUUCCUUUUCCUCUUCUCUUGGCGCAUGGGCCUCUUGGGGCUGGUGCCCUUGGCCCAUAUAGGCCAAGGCGCACCCCCUACAGCCCAUGUGCCCCCCGGGGCAGGUGGCCCCACCCGGUGGACCCCCGGGACCCUUCCGGUGGUCUCGGUACAAUACCGGUGACCCCGAAACUUGUCCCGAUGGCCGAAAUAGCACUUCCUAUAUAUAAUUCUUUACCUCCGGACCAGUCCGGAACUCCUCGUGACGUCCGGGAUCUCAUCCGGGACUCCGAACAACUUUCGGGUUACCGCAUACUAAUAUCUCUAUAACCCUAGCGUCACCGAACCUUAAGUGCGUAGACCCUACGGGUUCGGGAGACAUGCAGACAUGACCGAGAUGACUCUCCGGUCAAUAACCAACAGCGGGAUCUGGAUACCCAUGUUGGCUCCCACAUGUUCCACGAUGAUCUCAUCGGAUGAACGACGAUGUCAAGGACUUAAUCAAUCCCGUAUACAAUUCCCUUUGUCUAUCGGUACGAUACUUGCCCGAGAUUCGAUCGUCGGUAUCCCGAUACCUUGUUCAAUCUCGUUACCGGCAAGUCUCUUUACUCGUUCCAUAACACAUCAUCCCGUGAUCAACUCCUUGAUCACAUUGUGCACAUUAUGAUGAUGUCCUACCGAGUGGGCCCAGAGAUACCUCUCCGUUUACACAGAGUGACAAAUCCCAGUCUCGAUUCGUGCCAACCCAACAGACACUUUCGGAGAUACCUGUAGUGUACCUUUAUAGCCACCCAGUUACAUUGUGACAUUUGGCACACCCAAAGCACUCCUACGGUAUCCGGGAGUUGCACAAUCUCAUGGUCUAAGGAAAUGAUACUUGACAUUAGAAAAGCUUUAGCAUACGAACUACAUGAUCUUGUGCUAGGCUUAGGAUUGGGUCUUGUCCAUCACAUCAUUCUCCUAAUGAUGUGAUCCCGUUAUCAACGACAUCCAAUGUCCAUGGUCAGGAAACCGUAACCAUCUAUUGAUCAACGAGCUAGUCAACUAGAGGCUUACUAGGGACAUGGUGUUGUCUAUGUAUCCACACAUGUAUCUGAGUUUCCUAUUAAUACAAUUAUAGCAUGGAUAAUAAACGAUUAUUAUGAACAAGGAAAUAUAAUAAUAACUAUUUAUUAUUGCCUCUAGGGCAUAUUUCCAACACUUUGUAACUCUGGGCCCAUUAAAGGCCCAAGAUGAAACUGGCCCAUAAUGAAUAGUGUAUCGCUUUAUACCCAUUAACGACCCAUCAUUCCGUCGGCCGUUUCCAGCCCGUGUUAACUUUCGGCCUUCUAAGGUCCCAUUUAUUAUUUGGCUCAUUUCUAGAAUUCGGUUAGUUACGGUCCAUUACUGGCCUGUUCCGUUUGUGGGCCAAAUUCAGCCCGUGGUUACAUUCGGCCCGUUUGUGGCCCGUUAACCCAUUGGGCUAUUUUCAUAGCGUUAUCAAAUAUGGCCUAUUAACGACCCAUUAUGGUCCACGAAUAGUACGACCCAUGUUUGGCGAAAUGAUUAUACGCCCCGUAGAAGGCCCAUGGAUCGUACGGCCCGUAGAAGGCCAAUGGAUACUACGGCCCGUAGAAGGCCCAUGGAUCCUACGGCCCGUAAGAAGGCCCAUGGAUCCUACAGCCCGAAGAAGGCCCAUGGAUCCUAUGACCCGCAGGAGGCCCAUGGUUACAACAGUCCGUGUGUUGGCAUGGUUAUUGUGGCCUAGUUACCAAAAGUAGGUUAUUGUGGCCACUAGAAAAACAAGGAAAAAGAACUGCAGUGACUACAAGCAAACAACUAAACAAGACAAUAAGGAAAUAAAUAAGCAAGCAACUAACGCUAGGCUAUUACGGCUAUUACACAUAUUACAUCCACUGGGCAUCAUAGUUCGCCACCAGUGCAAAUAUAGGGAACAAAGCAACAUAUUACAUACACAGGCCGUCUAAAUUGGCCACCAGUGCAAAUAAACGCGGCUGCAAAACAAUCCCAUAACUAAAACAACUUCAGAAGAGCUCAAGAAACGUUAUCCUGGGUAUCCACCAUGCUGGCAAUAAGCUUAGAAAGCUUAUUAGCUUUGUCCUGUCUGGCGCUAAAAUCCUCCAACGCUUGCUAUUGCACUAGAAAGUAUGCAUCUGAAUGCUCCAGGGACUUCUGCAGUCCUUCCGCUUUUUGUCGCAGCCCAACUGAUCGAUGUCUUUCAGCUUGAAGUUGAGACUCAAGAACCCGAACUAAUUCAGACAGUGAGCUUGAAUAGCUUGUGCCAGCGGUAGUGGCCAGUAACUCAAACACUAAACCAAGACAUGACUUUGGGGUUGUCUCACUAUCUUCAAGAUAGUUUUCCUUAGAUGUUUUAUCAGCUUUGUUGGAGACCAACAAGGAUGUCUCACUAUCCUGAACCUUAUCCACAUUACUUCCUUUAUCGUUGCUUAAUAAGGCACUCUUCCCCAAUAUUCUGUCAGCAUUCUAAAAGGAGAAACAAGCAGACUCAUAACAGGUUUAACAUGUACUAGUAUAUGAAACUCAUUUUGGUGAACCAGUUCAUUAGUAAGGUGGACAAGAUUAAACUACCAAGUCUUCUAUUGCCAAGUAGUACAUUAUAAAAGCAUCAAACAAACAUAUAUCUAUGUCCUAUGGUCACUGCAUUGUCUUGCCAAAUCAAAAUAGAGACACGGUUCAAAUCAUAUUAGUUCAAGAGAAAGCAACACUGAAAGAAUAUAAAGCGUGGGAAACUACAUGGCACAACAAGAUUUUAGAUGGGUACCACGGGUCUACAUGUACAACAACACUAUUGGCUCUGUUGUGACGCUAGUAAUGUGCAUGAUAUGAGAAGUCAACUGUAUACACAAUUGAAAUUGAAAUCAACGGAGCUAUUUAUAAGAGAAAACCUAUUAAAGAAACAUGCGUAAAUAUACCUGUUAUGCCAUUGGAGUUUCGAUUGGAUCCUUCAAUUUAAAAAUAAGUUUGUAUGAGUAAAUACAGUGAUACAAGAGCAAAGCGGUAUGCACGAUAGCAAUGGAAUCUUAAAUGAGAACAUGUGCUCUUCAGGUUUAAGCACUUGUUCUACAUGAACAGAGUACAGUAAGAUGCAAGCAUAUAGUACUUAAAAAAAGAGCUCACAGACCUUACCACAUUCUUGGUUCGAGACCAGUAUAGAACAAGGCGUUCCCAGCCAUCGUCCAGUAAAUGUGUCUCAGGAGAACAUAAGGGAAUUUGAUGAGUUUCUUUGCCAGUGAAGUACGUUUUCUUCAGGUAAUUCCGAUACUGCCACCAAGCAUUCUUGAAGAUAGCAGAGGUAUUAGCACAGGUUACCUCAUCCCGAGUUUCCAAAUCGGUCCUUCUCUAUAGGGAAAAAUUGGAAAAUUUGCUGUAUAUAACCAUCACGGAGGUAGAAUGUAUGGGACAAAGCAAAGUAAUUGCCAUGAAUAACAUUACUUACACAUAACUCCUGGACAAACACCUGCAACUGGCAUUUUCCUUCAUCUUCAAUAUAAUAUUUCCAUGAUGGGAAGAUACACACAUAGGAUUUAACAACAUCAAAUGCGAUAGAUGCUAAACUGCGAAUGAGUGGUUGUGCUUCCUCCACAGGAAUAGGUGUACUAACUAGUGGAGUUGGGGUUCGCCAUGGUAGUACUGGCGCUUUGGGCACUGGAGCUACCUUACUAACUGCUCUUGUUUGGGAGCUCUAUGGUGGAGAUGGUGCUGUGUCAAUAGGAACUGGGUUACUAUCUGCUGGGGUUGGGGUUAGAUUGGGUGAAGUUGGUUCUCUGUCCACUGCAAUAGGGGUACAAUCUGCGGGAGUCUGGGUUAUGUGUGGUAGGGCUGGUUCUCGUGCAUGUACAACCGGGGUGCUAUCUCCACCAAGAGGUAGCACUAUUUUAUUUGAAGACCGUGUUUUUACUCCGCUAGAUACUGCCAUCACCCACUCCAAUCCAAAUGGCUGAUAAACAGGAAACAUAGUUGAAUGUACAGACAUUGUAUGAGAGACAGAUGCAAUAGAUAGUGUGGAAAAAAAGGCAUGAAAUAGUUGACAUGUAUAUUGUUUAACUAAAACAGAUAGCAUGACAUAAGUUCACAUAUAUGAUGUCUGUCUAAACUGGAUAGCAUAGCAUAACAUAAUUCAAAGAUAUGAUGACUAACUAAACAUGAUUGCAUGACAUAAUUCACAUACAUGUUAUCUAAGUAAUUAGGAUCGCAUGAUUUAAUUCACAGAUGUGAUUUAUAUGCUAAGCAGAGGGCAUUCGCAUAUAUGAUGUCUGAACUAAGAAUAUGGUGUUGAAUAUUGUGUAUAUGAUGUCUAAACUAUGCAAUGAAAGACACCAUAUGCAUGAUAUGAGCAGUAUAACCAUGCCAAGUUAGAGCAUACACCUCGGUGGGGGAAUAGGACUGGCCAUCUGUCUCUGAAUCCAUCUCUGAGGAGCUAUCGGGACCCAGCAAGAGAUCUGCUUCGACAGGUAGCACUGUAUGCUCUGAAGGCCUUGUUUUCACUCCAGAUUUUCCAUCACCCACUCAAAUGGUUGAUUCACAGGAAGAGUAGUUUAAUGUACAAACAUUGUCGACAAAUGGAAAUGUAAUGAAGAAAAGGAUGGGCAAGAUAUUAUUCAAAUAUAUGAUGCCUAGUUAAACAGGAUGGCAUUGCACAUUUCACAUAUAUUAUGGCUGGCUAAAACACAUGAGACUGCAUAAUUCCAUAUAUGAUAUAGAAACUAAAAAUGUGGCAUUACAGAACAUGUCUAAACUAGGCAGAUGACAUAUAUGAUAUCGAAAGUAGGCACUGCAAGCCAACAUAUGCAUGAUAUGACUAACAUCAUCAUGCCAAGUUAGAGCAAACACCUUGGUGGGUAAAUAGGAGUGGUCAGCUGCGUUUGAAUCCGCCUCAUAACAGAUAUCUUCCUNNNNNNNNNNNNNNNNNNNNNNNNNNNNNNNNNNNNNNNNNNNNNNNNNNNNNNNNNNNNNNNNNNNNNNNNNNNNNNNNNNNNNNNNNNNNNNNNNNNNNNNNNNNNNNNNNNNNNNNNNNNNNNNNNNNNNNNNNNNNNNNNNNNNNNNNNNNNNNNNNNNNNNNNNNNNNNNNNNNNNNNNNNNNNNNNNNNNNNNNNNNNNNNNNNNNNNNNNNNNNNNNNNNNGGGGGAGGGGGGAGGGUUUGCCAUUGAACCCACCAUGGAGCGAUGUCUGCAUGACAUUGUAUUGCCGUACAAAACUCUUCUCUUUUCCUCUACAUGUUCAGCAUGACUGUGUACAAUAUCUGACAUGCAUACAAAAAAUACAUUGAGAUUAUGUAAGGAGAGCAUGCAGAAAUCUAGAGUGAGGGUAACAACCAGUAGAUGGAUCCAAAAAUAAUGAUAGCAGGCUGAUGAUUGCUUUAAUUUAAUAAAAAGACAGAUGAUGAUUGAUUUACUAUUUGUUUCCCACCCAAGAUGAACAACAUAGGCAUACCCUAGGUGAACCAGAUAUUAGACAUAGAUACUAUUCAUUCCUGCCUCGAUAUGUGCCCCACAACUAAUUUAGAACUCAAGUUUGAACAUUAAUUUAGACCUGAUCUGGAGUCUAAGAGGUGGACAGGACGAUAAAGUAGUAGGUAAUAUUAAGCAAUAAAUAACAUAAUCAGAAACAAAAGGGUGCGACCUCUCUUGUGGACCUGUGUACUCCUCAGGUUCAUCUGCUGAGGUGAUGAUGGUGAUGCCGUCACGGUGGGUGCCGGCGGCAGGGAAGGAGAUCUGAGGCGGCAAAAGACGGUCAGGAGUCGUGAUGUCUGGUUUGGUGGAUGCUUCUGUCAAUGGAGCAGCUCAGGUGCGGUGGACGACAUCACGGCAGGAGCAGGACAAACCACACAAAAUUUUCUUCGACACCUACCUGUAACGGAAGUAAUUUUGUAAGGGCUCCUUUGGCUUGCAUGAUUCUAAAAACGCAGGGAUAGGAAAAACACCGGAAUAGGAUAGGAAUGCACAUGGGAAACAGAGCAUUUGUAAACACAGGAUUUCUGUCAACUUGGCUGUUUGGUUCACAGGAAUUGGAAGAGCAGAGGAAUGCAAAGAAGCAUGGCCAAAUUAAAGUGAAACCAUAUGAAAGCUUGUACAGUUAGAAUGCUAUUCUGCCACUAAUGCACUUGUUCUCGUUCUCAUGCAUAGGAUUUUGAAAAGUAGGUCCAGCUGGAUGUUUUGCUCCAUUCCUUUCAACAAAAUGCAUGAAUAAUUGAAUAUUAGAGUGCCAUAGGAAAAUUUCCUAUUGCUAUGUUUUCCUUUGAACCAAAAUAGCCCUAAUGGAUCGACAUGUGUGUAGAGUAAUAAGUGAUGCGACAAGUGUACAACCUCUUUGCCGUAGCCAUGUUGACCUCAACAUCAUUGGGUUGGUCGCUGAAGAAGUUGAGGCAGAGGUGGCUGUCGGAGGUGUGGAGGAAGAUCUGAGGAAUCUUUCAACGACGUCCAGGGCACUGCUCUGUUGUGAUGGAUGGUUCCGUCAUUGGAGUAGCUCCGACAAGCCGUAAGACAUCGGGGCUGAAGCAGUACAAGACAAACAUCGUUAAUCUCAAGUGGGAUUCUAAUAGCAUCUCCAAUAGAUGAUGUAAAAUACAUUACCAAAAAGCGAUAGAUGUAAAAUUUACAUCACCAAAAACCACCUGACUACAACAGAUGAGGUAAAAACUGUUGACUCUGAACUUAACUGUCGAAACUGAUAUUUACUGUGGAAUCUGAAUGUUACUGUCGAAACUGAACGCAAUGGUAGCAGAGAGGCAUUUCACAUGUAGUUUAGGGAGGGCCUGCAGUUCAUCUUCAACCUGCACCCCCUGAGCCGCCAGCCACCACCGGCUGAACUGCCGGCCCUGGCCGCCCGCGGCUGGCUGCGCUCCAGCGCCGCCUCGCCGCCCCUAAACCACUCCCCACCGCCGGCCCGCCGCCGCCCCGGCCAGCCCUCUAGCCCCCCCGCACCGAGAUUUUUCUCCAGUGAUCUCCACGCCACUGCCCCACCACCGCGCCCCCAUCGUCGACGAGCACCGCCCCACCUUGAACCCUAAGAUAGAUAGUGGGGUACCUCUCCGGCGAGCCCCCCUCCCUGCUGUGGGUGGUUCUUCCUUAACUCUGGCGAGCCCCCCACCCCCUGAAAAUCGAUUGACCCAAAAGUCGAUUCAGUCGACUGAAGUGUAGCUAAAUCGGAGUAGAGCAACAACACGAGCGAGGGGGAGAGUAGCAGCAGCAGUGCGAGCGAGAGCCGGAGUAGCAGCAGCAGCAGAUCCGGCUGGUAUGGACGCCGCGGCCGAAGGGGCCUCGCACUAGGGGAGAGCCGCUGUGGAGAUGUCGCCCGCGGUGCCGGCUUCGAGGUAGCCGCGCCAUGGGGGUGCGGGAUGGAGUACCGUCGGUGCCGGGAGGUCGAGUUAAGGAGAAGGUGUGAUGCGAUGAGUGUACAACCUCUUUGGUGGCGCCGAGUAGGCCUCGGCUUCGUCCGAGGAGUCGGUGAGGAGGCUGCGGCUCCGGUGGAGCAGGUUAAGGCGGUGCUGUGGGGAUGGAGUAGCCGCGAUAGACGAGGCGAUCGUCGGAGCAGCUCCUUGGAGGUGGAGGACGGGGCGGCCGAACCGGCGGGACAACGAGAUGGACAACGGAUCCUCAUCCGGGGAGGUGGAUGAGGGACGCCGAGCCGUCACGGUGGACGAUGUCGUCGGGGAAGAGGCUCUGGCUGGGUAGCGAUGACGUGGCAGACGAAGGAGGGUGGGGUUUCGCGGUUGGAGCAGAGAGGUUAUGGUGGCCUGGGAUUUCGAAUGGCGAAAAGGAGGUGAUGGGAGGAGGAACCAUGACUUAGGGACGCGCUUGUCCAAAAUGUAGGGUGUGUUACAAAAGUAUCCCCACCGAUUUGAACUAGCGACCCUUUUGGCUCAGGGUUAGAAGGGGGACUUCGCGUGUCGGGAUUUGGCAGCUGGAGGGAGUUUUCGCGCGCGUUGUAAUUUCGGGAUAGCAAGGCGCUGGUUGUGAAUGCGCGAGUUUUGGGAGCACGAUAUCUGAAUUUUCGGGAUAUAACAAGGUGCAGGUUGAAUUUUAGAGACAAGCCUAACAUGUAAUAUUGUACUUGUACGUACCAAAUCAAUUCGCACUUCCCUCAACAAAAAAACGAAAAAAAUAAAACUAUUCACACUACACAAAGAGAGAGCCUUGUCCCGUUUUACUAUACAAAUGCUAUUCAAAGCUAUGAAUCCAUGUUAUGUCCAAUUAAAUUUUUUCGCUGGCUGUAUAAUGCAUGUAACCUACUCAUACCAACAUUUUAGUGCAUUCCAAAUGUCUAUACUACGGCUGCAAUUCGAACUAAAUUUGAAUUUGUUUCUCUAUUUGAAUAAGAAUCUACAAUCAAGAUUGUUGCUAACUUCAACCAUCAUUCGCGUAUUACCUUAACAACACACCACACGAUUACAAUAGAGAUAGAUAUGAACUAUGUGUACUAUAUGAACUUGAAUUCAAUUUUUUGAAUACACUUGAUGUUGAUUCCAAAUAAUAGUACAUUUGACGUACUAACUAGAUAUUCAUAAUCUAAACCAUGUUCCAUACGUACACCGUGUUUAUCACACAAAGUAUAGUGCCCCGCCCCCUACAUUAUGACAAGUAUUUAGCCCUGAGCUGCAAAAGCCACACAUUAUCCCAAAUUAUAAUCAAUGUUCUAUAUAUUAUAUGUAGUACUAGGAAGAUGCCCAUGCGUUGCACGGAACAUCAAGAUGAUCGAGGGGAGGCCUUAUUUGCAAAUGUGGAGAGGGGUAUGGGUAUCUUUUUUCCAAAUUGCCAUAGUUUCCUUCCUAUCCGUCAGAUAUAAAUCAGACGACCUAUAUUGCAGGAUGGCAGGCACACCAUCAUCACCAACUCUGUUUUUUAUAUAUAAAAUAUAUUAUAUGCAGUAUAACAUGUUCAUAACCACACCAUGUGUAUCACCGUUAUAUAUAUUCACGCAUGCGUCGGUUUAAAACACUAUGAUAAAUUCUUCAAAUAUCUGAAUUCACUUUUUAUAAUGAAAUUAUGAUCUCUGUUCGUCUUUUACACCCACACAAUCCUCUUAUCUUUGUAGCUAGCGCUAACUUUCUCUCGUGCAUGCACACGCCCGCAUCCCUCUCACCCUCCCUCAGCAUUCUCUAGCUCCAUCGCGCAAAUUCGUCUUUUCACUUUAGGUCAUUCACCCACGGCAUGUGUAGGCCCCCCAAUUCCUUCUUUACGACACACAUCGAUCGAUAUGCCUCUCUAGCCAGGUGUGCCUACCACAAACACAAGCUUUCCCUCUUCUCUUCUCACCGUCCAUGCCUCACUCCCGCCCCUCUUUUCAUGGAUCUCAUACUCGCACACUCCUUCCCCCUCGAUAUAGUAUGCCUAUCGCACCACCUCCUAGCUGCAUCCCUCUCUCUCUAUCCUUCUCUCCGGGCCUUAUUUGCUUCUAACACAUACAUGGAUGUAUACCGAUCGAUCUCCCUACAUAUACCUAGGUCGACUUUAACUAUUUCCCCCCACCCAUCUAUCGACGUACCUCACAAGUUAUGUCUCUCCUUUCUCCGACAAAGGACGAUUGAUCUUCCUAUGCAGUUACGUCUGCUUACCACAGCCAUAUCGUCCCCCCUCAUCGUUCGUGCAUGCCUCCUGACCCGUCUCUCUAACGCACGUGCACAGACAGGCAUGCAUCCCCUCUCUUAUUGAUAUUGCAGGCGUGCCCUCCGUUUGUCUAGCAAGCCUCUCCCAUCAUUUGUAAGAAGCAACUCCACUACCAACCCCUCCGACACUCUAGCUCUGUCUCUCUCCCAACCUUAUUCCUCUCCUACACAUAUGCAUGGAUGCCGAUCGAUCUCCCUCAAUACAUAAGGUAGGUCUCUCUCCUCCUCCACACAUAUACCAGCCAUUGUACCUCUAAGUUAGGUCUCUCCCCCACCCCCACACCGAUAGUCGAGCGCUGUAGGUAGGUAGGUAUCCAUGCCACAGAGACAAACUGCACAUGUCCCCUCUCACGUUCCAGUAGGCCGGCCAUCCUAUAUCUUUGACGUGGGCACACACAAAUUCGAUGGCACUCUUUAUCGAUCGCGCGCGCGCACACACACACAUCAUCCCUCUCUUCGAUUCUAUGGAUACCUCACGCCGAUGAUACCUCCACUCUCUUCUCGUGGAUCGCCCCCUCUAUAUAUAUGAUAUAUCCAGGCCUCUAUUUCACACACAUUGCAUAUGUUACAUUUUUUGAUCGAAAUAUCAUCGACACAUAUUCCCUGUCUAUCUCUCACGCCCCCCAAAAUAAACACUCACGAACCCACACACUAUAUCUCUCUAUGUUUGUAUCUCUCUCACACAACCCCACGUAGGUGGUGUACGUACACGAAGAGAAUAGGUGCACGUACUCAUGCUUCGUGCCCAGCAACACCCGCGCGGUACACGGUGGAGCUCAUUUCUGUAUGAAAUGGCAGCCGACGUGCUAAUUUGAGCACAUGUAGCGGUUGUUUACCUACGGAGGUCGUGUACCACGCGUGCACGAAACAAAGUUCGACUUGAUGCGUUGGCGCGUUAUUUUUAAAUAAAGUUAUAUCGCUCAAUGGCAUGUACACAGAAUAUAAAAUGAUUUUUAUGGAGACAAAGGUAGUCCGCUCCACUAUAUACAAUGGAGCCUGCUUGUCGGGGUUUUUCUCUCUUCAGAGUAUCUCACACAAGGCGGCGGUGGCCUCUCUCUCUCUCACCGUUGGUCACUGAUCCGACCGCAUCCCGUACGCUGGCGGAAAGGGAGGAUGUGCAUCGUUUCUCCGUUUGACGGCGCCGGGGCAGCACAUCCCGAUCUGCGGUACCCGCUGUUCUCUUUGACCAAGCUCCGGCGCGGUAGGGCUUACGCCACUUCUCGCUGCCACAGUAUGGGCAGAUCCCGCCCGCCGCCGCUCUCCUAGUUACAUCUCGACGACCCCCAGGUAUCCCCUCUGGCCUUGCUCCACUGCCCGUCUUCCCACGUCACUGCAUGUGGAAAGUCUUGCAUGUCGAUCUUCCAUAGUUCUUUGCCCAAAACAUAGCUCGUCCGGCGUACUUUCCAUAUUGCAAUCUCGUCCUCACACCAUGUUAGACAAACACAACCGUGUUAUUAUCUUCCCUUAGGACAAGGAAUAUGCUUCUUUUUUGUUGUCGUAUGUGUCAUCAACUGUUAUUGUCCAGUAAUUGUUUCCUUUCUACCUCUUUUUUGCAAACAGGGCUAUCCAUUUCACCUCGUUGCUAUUGCGACCUUUUGGUGAACUGCACAAAUCACUUUUUUCUUAAGAGUGUUCUGUGCAGUUGUACUAAAAUGUCACACGGGCAACGUCUCUACGUUUCAGUGCGACUACACAAAGGGAGAUUGGUUUUGCUCUAUCCUCCUCAACCAACUCCGAGCCUAAUCUUCUCCAACUAUUUGCUUAAUCUUCUCCAACUAGUUAGUCUUAAAAGAGACUGUGAUACGUCUCCAAUGUAUCUACUUUUCCUAACGCUUUUCCUCUUGUUUUGGACUCUAAUUUGCAUGAUUUGAAUGAAACUAACCCCGGACUGAUGCUGUUUUCAACAGAACUACCAUGGUGUUGUUUUUGUAUAGAAAUAAAAGUCCUCGAAAUGGAACGAAACUUUGCGAGGAUUUUUUAUACAAUAAAAGAGAAUUUCUAGAGCCAAGAGCCACCGGAGGGGGGCACAUUGGUGGGCACAACCCACCAGGGCACGCCUGCUCUCCCAGGCGCCCAGGUGGGUUGUCCCCACCUGGUGGCCCCACAAACCCUGAAACCGACGCUAUAAAAUCCUAUUUUCCAGAAAAAAUCAGAGAGAAAGAAUUAUUGCGAUCCACGAGACGGAGCCGCCGUCACCUCCUGUUCUUCAUCGGGAGGCCAGAUCUGGAGUCUGCUUGGGACUUCGAAGAGGGGAAUCUUCGUUCUUCAUCAUCACCAACUCUUCUCCAUCGCCAAUUCCAUGAUGCUCCCCACCGAGAGUGAGGAAUUCCUUCGUAGGCUCGCUGGUCGGUGAGGAUUGGAUGAGAUUCAUCAUAUAAUCGAGUUAUUUUUGUUAGGGCUUGAUCCCUAGUAUCCACUAUGUUCUGGGAUUGAUGUUGCUAUGACUUUGCCGUGCUUAAUGCUUGUCACUUUUGGCCCGGGUGCCAUGAUUUCAGAUCUGAACCGUUUAUGUUAUCAUCAUUAUAUCUAUGUUCUAGAUCCGAUCUUGCAAGUUAUAGUCACCUACUACGUGUUAUGAUCCGACAACAACGCAGUGACAAUAGCCGGGACCACUCUCGAUGAUGACCGUAGUUUGAGGAGUUCAUGUAUUCACCAUGUGUUAAUGCUUUGUUUCGGUUCUCUAUUAAAAGGAGGCCUUAAUAUCCCUUAGUUUCCAAUAUGGACCCCGCUGCCACGGGAGGGUAGGACAAAAUAUGUCAUGCAAGUUCUUUCCAUAAGCACGUAUGACUAUUUACGGAAUACAUGCCUACAUUAUAUUUAUAAACUGGAGCUAGUGCCGUAUCGCCCUAGGUUAUGACUGUCACAUGAUGAAUAUCAUCCAACAAAUUACCAAUCCAAUGCCUACGAAUUUAUCUUAUAUUGUUUCUGCUAAGUUACUACUACUAUCGUUACUGUUGCACUUGCUACAAAACUAUUGCUAUCACUGUUACUGUUACCAUUGCUGCUGUCACUAUUAUCAAAACUAUCAUAUUACUUUGCUACUGAUCAUGUUGCUGCGGAUAAUUAAUCUCCAGGUGUGGUUGAAUUGACAACUCAGCUGCUAAUAGUUGCAAAUAUUCUUUGGCUCCCCUUGUGUCAAAUCUAUAAAUUUGGGUUGAAUACCCUCGAAAACUGUUGCGAUCCCCUACACUUGUGGGUUAUCAAGACCUUUUUCUGGCGCCAUUGCUGGGGAGCAUAGCUAUAUUUGUUGAUUCACUUGGGAUUAUUAUCAAUUUAUCAUUAUGAAGAAUCUGAAGGAUGCUAAGACUAAGAUUUAUCCCUCUAAGACGAGGGGAGGUAAGGAACUGCCAUCCAGUCCAGCUUUAGAUUCACCUUCUGUUAUAAGUAAACUUGCAACACCACCACAUGCUAUUAAUCCUAAUAUGUCGCAAGUUAUUGAUGGUGCUACUUUACUAUAAAUGAUGCUUAUGAUGAUGCAAGUACCUUGCAUGAUGAUGAUGUGCCACUAGGUGAAUCUCUUGAUGAACAAAUUGCUAGAGUAAUACAACAUGAUGUUGUUGAAUCCGAUGAUGAGCCUGAAACUGAAAAUCUUGAAACACCUGCUAGAACUAGCCUUCCUAGAUAUGAAUUGCCUAAUGUACCAGAAGGUUAUGUUAUGAAUGAGGAGACAACUAGAGAUAUUCUUGCUUGUAAGGAUAUAGAUGAUCUAGAGAAAUUAUUAUGCAAGUAUAAGGAAAAAUUUCUGAAUGCUAGAGUGCAAUAUGAUCCUAAGUUUUCUACCUCACCUAUCUUUAUUGAUGAUAAGGAUUAUGAAUUCUCUGUCGACCCAGAGUUAAUUACUUUGGUUGAAUCUGAUCCUUUCCAUGGUUAUGAAACUGAAACUAUUGUGGCACAUCUUACUAAGUUGAAUGACAUAGCCACCCUUUUUACUCAUGAUGAGAAAACUUGCUAUUACUAUAUUCUCAAAUUAUUUCCGUUCUCAUUAAAGGGUGAUGCUAAAGCUUUAUACAAUACUCUUACUCCUGGUUGUGUGCGUAGUCCCUAGGAUAUGAUUUGUUACUUCUCUGAAAAAUAUUUCCUGCUAAUAAGAAACAAGCUGCCUUACAGGAAAUACUUAACUUCGUGCGAACUAAAGAAGAGAGUCUCCCACCAGCUUGGGGGAGGCUUUGCCAGUUACUUAAUGUUUUUCCUGAUCAUCCUCUUAAGAAAAAUGAAAUACUUGAUAUCUUCUAUAAUGGACUAACUGAUGCUUCUAGGGAUUUCCUAGAUAGUUGUGCUGGUUGUGUUUUCAGGGAAUGAACUGUUGGACAAGCUGAAGAAUUAUUGAAUAAUAUAUUGAAAAAUUAUGAUGAUUGGAGUCUUCCCGAACCACCGCCUAAGCCCACUCCAAAGAAGAGGGGUAUAUUAUAUCUCAGUCCUGAAGAUAUGCAAGAGGCAAAGAAAUCUAUGAAGGAAAAAGGUAUUAAAGCCGAGGAUGUUAAAAAUUUACCUCCUAUUGAAGAAAUACAUGGGCUUAAUACACCACCACUGCCUAAGGUGGUAGAGGUAAAUUCUCUAAUGAAAUUCAAUGAUAAUGACAAUCCUCACAAUAUGCACCCUAGCCAAUGCCUUUAUGAGUUUGAGAAUUACCUUAGAAAGCAAGAUUACUUCAAUGCAAAUGUCAUGAAACAAUUGAAAUAUAAUUCUUAUAUGAUUGCUCGCUUGAGUGACUUGUUAUUUAGAAUCAAUGAUGUUAGAGUUGUUGCAAAACAUGCUUCUAUGGUACAAACCUAGUUAGAACAAGUUGCUAAAUCUCAAAGAGAGUUGCUUGAUGAAAUGAAUAACAACAUACAUGACUUUGCUGUUAGAGUUGCAACUAGAGGAGGUAAAAUGACUCAGUAACCACUUUAUCCUGAGGGACACCCAAAAAGAAUUGAACAGGAUUCACAAAGGAACAACAUCACUGCACCUAGUCCUUCUAAAAGGAAGAAGAAAAAGAAAAAUGAUAGGACUUUGCAUGCCUCUAGUGAACCUGAAAUAGAAAAACCUCCUAAUAAUGAUAAUGAUAUUUCUAUUUCGGAUGCUGAAACUCAAUCUGGUAAUGAACAUUCACCUAAUGAUAAUGAAAAAGAUAAUGCUGAUGUUCAUGAAGGUAGUCAACCAAACAAUGAAAAAGAACCAGAUAAUGAUAUUGAAAUAGAACCACCAGUUGAUCUUGAUAACCCACGACCCAAGAAUACACGUUAUGAUAAAAGAGAUUUUAUUGCUAUAAAACACGGUAAAGAAAUAGAACCGUUGGUUCAAAAACCCAUGCCUUUUCCACCCAAGUCAACUAAAAAGAAAGAUGAUGAAGAAUUUGAACGCUUUGCUGAAAUGCCGAGGCCAGUCUUUUUGCGUACUCGCUUGACUGAUAUCUUGAAAAUGCCUCCUUAUGCAAAGUACAUGAAAGACAUCAUCACUAAUAAGAUAAAAAUACCGGAAGCUGAAAUCUCCACCAUGCUUGCCAAUUAUACUUUUAAAUAUGGAUUACCUAAAAAACUUGGAGAUCUGGGAAUACCAACUAUACCUUGCUCCAUCAAAAGAAAUUAUGUGAAAACUGCUUUGUGUGAUUUAGGAGCUGGUGUUAGUGUUAUGCCUUUCUCUUUAUAUAAAAGACUUGACUUGAAUAAACUCACACCUACUGAAAUAUCUUUGCAAAUGGCUGACAAAUCAACUGCCAUACCUAUCGGUAUUUGUGAGGAUGUGCCCGUUGUUGUUGCUAAUGUUACUAUUUUGACUGACUUUGUUAUAGUUGAGAUGCCCGAGGACGACAACAUGUCGAUUAUCCUUGGUAGAACCUUCUUGAACACUACAGGGGCUGUUAUUGAUUGCAAUAAAAGCAAGGUCACUUUUCGUAUCGAUGGUAAUGAGCAUACGGUGCACUUUCCGAAGAAACAAUUCCAAGUGAAUGGUAUUAAUGUUAUUGAAAAAUCUCCAACAAUCACUACUGGAAGUUUUCAACUACCUCUACCUACUGUUAAAAAGAAAUAUGAAAUGCUUAUUGUUGGGGACAUUCAUAUCCCCGUUGAGGUAACUUAGUGAUUUACGAAAGUUCUUCGGUUUCAUGCUAAUCGAAAGUGGUUGUUAAUAAGACUUGAUCAACCUUAUUAAUGGAUCAGUUUUGAGAGGUAUGAAGUUGAUGAAUUUAGUAAGCACUACCUUCUGUCCCUUCCUUUUUUUUAUGUUUUUAUUAGUUAAAUAAAAUAAAAUGCCAUGUUUUGACUAUUUUCUGAUUUUCCCGUGCAAUAAAAAAUGACCCAAAAAUAAAAGUUCUCAGAAUGCUCUGAAAUUUAAUACAUUUUUUUUCCUGAAUAUUUAAGAAUUUCUGGUGCAAAUAAUAUCAGAGGGAGGCGCACCAGGUGGGCACAACCCACCUGGGCGCGCCAGGACCCCCAGACGUGUCCUGGUGGGUUGUGGUCCCCACGUGGGCCCCCUCACUUAUCUCUUUACGCCACAUCAUCACCUACCUCCAGAAAAAAUUAAUCAUUGCUCUCUCUCUCUCUCUCUCUCUCUCUCGUGUUCUUGCUCUCAAACCCGCGGAUUUUGAUCUCUUUGCUUGAAGCUCCGUUUCCGAAACUGUUUCGGGGGAUUGUUGCUUGGUAUGUGACUCCUCCGUUUGUCCAAUUAGUUUUUGUUUUAGUGGUUUAUAUUUUGAAGAGUUAUCUACUCUUGGUGCUGCUAUAGAUGAGCUUGCAUGUUGAAUUCUUAGAGUUCUAAGUAGUUUGAAUGCUUGCUAUGGCCUCUAUGUAUCCCUAUGUGUAGUUGCUAUCAAUUUUGUGAAGUUUUGUUGAGAAAAAUUUGUGGACUAAAAAUUUCAGAAUUGUUGUUCUUAGGAAAAGGAUGAAUAUUUUUGGGAAGUUUGCUUCUAAGAAGAACUCCAAGGGAGUUAUUGGGGAGUCGUCUGACAGUGAUCUCCACCCCCGGAGGUUGGCGGAAGUACGGCCGUGCGAAUGGCCGCAUACCCCGUUCAUGGAAGAGGCUGGAAUCCUUCAAGAGUUAACACAAUAUGCAGCUAAUGCAGGCCUCACCGACUUCAUCUCAGAUGAAUGUGAACAUUAUCAUCUCCUCACAAACAUCUUUGUUCAAAAUUUUAAUUUCCUUCCUAGGAAUAAUCCCCCUGAGGUGCAAUUUAAUUUAUAUGCUGAUUUCCACCAGAUACCUCUUACUGAAUUUUGUGAAAUAUGCUUGCUUCCUGCUGAUGGUAGUUUAGCAGAGCCAAGACCCGCAGAGUUUGAAAGCUUUUAUCAUACUCUGACAGUGGGUGAUGAGAGAGGGGUGUCGGGUAUAACUGCCGCUGGCUUGCAUUUUCCUGCUGUUCAUUAUUUUGCUCUUUUCAUUUCAAAAUGCUUGCUUGCUAGAGAGAAGGUGGGUGCACUGAGUUCACCAGACCUUGCUGUUUUACGUCGUGCACUAGAGGGCGACAACACUUAUAGCCUGGGAGCUAUUGUGGCACGCCGCCUCCACAUUAAUAAGUCCAAGGGUAAAAUACAUGGUGGUAUUUUUGCUACUCGCUUGGCGGCUCGCUUUAAUGUUGAGAUACGCCUUCAUGAUUAUCCCUUGACCAAGGUCUACAGAUCGCACAGCUAUGGAACACCACCAUUUUAUUGCACAAGAUUCCCUAACAUUCCUAUUCCGUAUAACUUGGUUUUCAGUGUGAGCACUCGUGAUAUUAUCCCAUUGUCUGCACCUGCUUUGUUUGAUCCUGUUGCAUAUAGGAUUACGCCUGCAGAUAUCAUCACCUACCGGAAUGACCAGGCUGCAGCAGAGGAGUAGCCUCAGCAGUGGGAUCCAUGGAUGCCCGCUCCUCAACACCCCGACUAUUAUCCAGUCUACAAAUCGAUUACCAAGUUAGGCCAAAAGCCUAAGCUUGGGGGAGUACAUGUUUCUCACCGACAUUACAUUCAUGUUCACACAUCUCAUUCUAGUUGUCGGUGUUCACACUUUUUCAUUGUAUUAUCCAUGCUUAAUUUAUUUUCUUGCUUUCUUCUUGAGUGUUUGAAAAACCUUAUAAAAAAAUUGUAGUUAGUUUAGUUUCUAUGCAUGCUUAAUUGUAGCACUAAAAAGAAAACCCAAAAAGAUUUCCUUGUUCUUCUUUUGCUUGUUGGGAGCUUUCCCGUGUAAAUAGUUUUUCUCCUUUUUGCUUUCCCUUUAUUUGCUUGUUCUAGAAAACCAAAAACUCCAAAAAUAUUUCAGUGUGUUUAUCUGAAUUUCUUUUCUUUUUAUUCGAGUCGUACCAAGUAGAAGAACACGAUGAAAAUGUUGACUGGCUCUUAUUUGCAUAAUUGUUAAUCUAACAAAGAGCCCCUUUUACCUUGUCUUCUCCUGUUGAAUAAAUUGUUUGCAGAUUCUAGCUUAGUCCAUGGUACUCUUGCACUAUUAUUAUUUUCACAUCGUUCGGUCGUGCAAGUGCAAGGCAAUAAUGACGAUAUUCGAUGAACUCGCCAUGGCGGAGAGAAACGGGUAUGAACUCGGCUUGUUCUGUUUUUGUAAAUAUGUUUAACCUAGUAUCCAUGAUUCAACCCCUUAUGAUUAAACAUGUUUGCAAUGACAAUUAGAGAUUAUAGUUUCUCAUUCCAUGCUUAAGUAGCUAGGAGUGGAUAAUGAUUUAUCUUGGAUAUCAACAUUGCGUUAAAAUGAUUGUGAUGUAGUAUGAUGAUAUGGUAUCCUCCUCUGAAUGUUCGAGUGGCUUGACUUGGCACAUGUUCAUGCAUGUAGUUGAAUCAAAACCAACAUAGCCUCUAUGAUAUUUAUGUUCAUGGUGUUUAUAUCCUACUCAUGCUAGUGUCCAAUGUUAUUUAUGCAUAAUGCAUGUUCAUGACCGUUGUUGCUCUCUAGUUGGCCGCUUCUCAACCUAUUUGCUAGCCUUCACCUGUACUAAGUGGGAAUUCUGCUUGUACAUCAAAAACCUUGAACCCAAGUUAUUCCAGAUGAGUCCACCAUACCUACCUAUAUGCGGUAUUACCCUGCCGUCCUAAGCAAAUUUGCAUAUGCCACCUCUAAAAACUUCAAAUAAAUAUCCUUUUUGUGUGCCUGGAUCGUUCAUGGAACGACAGGAGGUGGUCGAUAUCUUCCAUGCUAAGCGGGUUAUUCUUAGGUCUAGUGUUUAUUCACUCGCCAUCGCACAAGAAAAGGGCGGUAAUAGGGAUUCCCAGUCCCGAACUAAAAAAUGCAAAUAAAUAAACAAAACUCCCCCGGGACUGUUGUUGGUAUGGACGUCACCCGUUGUUUCGGACAAGCUAUGGAGUGUGAUUGAUGGUGGAGGGGGAGUAAACCUUUACUUUUACCACUUGGGAGCCGCCACUAGCGUGCUUAGCAUGGAAGAUAUUGAUAUCCGAUGGUCGUGAAGUAAAUGAGAAGGGUGCAUGUCUCAAAAUAUCAUUUACCUCUGUUUUAAAAACUUGAGCUCUGACACCUCUGCAAAUCACUGCUUCCCUCUGUGAAGGGACUAUCUAUUUACUUUUAUGUUGUGUCAUCACCCUCUAAAAUAAGCGCCAGAACCUGAGAGCAUUGCUGUCAUGCUGAUGCAUUGUGUGUAGCUAAUGUUGGGUGCAUCAUGACUGGAUCUUUUCUACCAUGAAUUACAAUGUUUAGUCGCUGCUUGAACUUUGGAGGUGCUUUGCAUUUAUGUUUUGCGGUCUCAGAAAGGGCUAGCGAGAUACCACUAUUGUCAUAUUAUAUCAUGGUUGUUUUGAUAAUGUCUUGCUGUUUGAGAUAUCUUAUUAUUGCUCACUAGCUGAUUAUGUCAGUGAUAUGAGUUAGUAUAAUUUUUAAGAGUUAUUGUCGACAUGGUUAGUUAUAGUGAUGGCUGAAAACUUGGGUAUUGUUUAAGCUUAUUUAUGCAAACAAGAGCAAAAGAGUUUGUAAAAGUUUUUAUUUUAUUUAUGCAAACAACCAGACGGAGCCGCUGUCACCUCCUAUUCUUCAUCGGGAGGCCAGAUCUGGAGUUCGUUUGGGACUCCGAAUAGGGGGAUCUUCGUUCUUCGUCAUCACCAACCCUUCUCCAUCGCCAAUUCCAUGAUGCUCCCCACCAAGAGUGAGUAAUUACUUCGUAGGCUCGCUGGUCAGUGAGGAGUUGGAUGAGAUUCAUCAUGUAAUUGAGUUAGUUUUGUUAGGGCUUGAUCCCUAGUAUCCACUAUGUUCUGAGAUUGAUCUUGCUAUGACUUUGCCAUGCUUAAUGCUUGUCACUUUGGGCCCGGGUGCCAUGAUUUCAGAUCUGAACCGUUUAUGUUAUCAUCAUUAUAUCUAUGUUCUAGAUUUGAUCUUGCAAGUUAUAGUCACCUACUACGUGUUAUGAUCCGGCAGCCCCGGAGUGACAAUAGUUGGGACCACUCCCGGUGAUGACCGUAGUUUGAGGAGUUCAUGUAUUCACCGUGUGUUAAUGCUUUGUUCUGGCUGUCUAUUAAAAGGAGGCCUUAAUAUCCCUUAGUUUCCAAUAUGGACCCUGCCGCCACGGGAGGGUAGGACAAAAGAUGUCAUGCAAGUUCUUUCCAUAAGCACGUAUGACUAUUUACGGAAUACAUGCCUACAUUAUAUUUAUGAACUGGAGCUAGUGCCGUAUCGCCCUAGGUUAUGACUGUCACAUGAUGAAUAUCAUCCAACAAAUUACCGAUCCAAUGCCUACGAAUUUAUCUUAUAUUGUUUCUGCUAAGGUACUACUACUAUCGUUACUGUUGCACUUGCUACAAAACUAUUGCUACCACUGUUACUGUUACCAUUGCUGCUGUCACUAUUAUCAAAACUAUCAUAUUACUUUGCUACUGAUCACGUUGCUCCAGAUAAUUAAUCUCCAGGUGUGGUUGAAUUGACACUAUUUUGCUCAAUCAAAGUAGACAAAGGCAUAUCAUUAAAAUCAAUAGGAGCACUUUUACUAGAAACCAAUUUCAUAAGAGCAUCAACUUUAUCACUCAAAGAAGAAAUUUCUUCAAUCGAAUUAACUUUUUUACUAGUAGGAGCUCUUUUGGUAUGCCAUUGUGAAUAAUUUUCCAUGAUAUUAUCAAGCAAUUUGGUGGCUUCACCCAAAGUAAUUUCCAUAAAAGUUCCACCCGCGGCGGAAUCUAAGAGAUUACGAGAAACAAAAUUCAACCCCGCAUAAAUUUUUUGUAUGAUCAUCCAAAGAUUUAACCCAUGAGUUGGGAAAUUCCUUAGCAUCAUUUUCAUCCUUUCCCAAGAUUGUGCAACAUACUCAUGUUCAAGUUGCUUGAAAUUCAUGAUCUGGGUUCUAAGGGAAAUAAUUUUUGCGGGAGGAAAAUACUUAGUGAUAAAAGCAUCUUUGCACUUAUUCCAAGAAUCGAUACUAUUGCGAGGCAAAGAAGAGAACCAAAUUUUUGCAGAAUCACGCAAAGAAAACAGAAAUAAUUUCAUCUUCACCACAUCAUUGUCCACAUCUUUUUUCUUUUGCAUAUCGCAUAAUUCCACGAAGGUAUUAAGAUGGGACACAUCAUCCUCAUUAGGAGUACCGGAAAAUUAAUCUUUCAUAACAAGAUUCAGCGAAGCAGUAUUAAUACCACAAGUCUCCGCACUAGUGGCGGGAGGAGCAAGCGGAGUGCCAAUAAAAUCAUUAUUGUUGGUAUUUGAGAAAUCACAUAAUUUGGUGUUCUCUUGAGUCAUGAUGACCACACAACAAGAUUGCACUCAAAAAACAGACCUGGCAAGAAAACGGCGAACGAAAAAGAGAGGCGAAUAAAACGGCAAAUUUUUGUGAAGUGGGGGAGAGGAAAAUGAGAGGCAAAUGGCAAAUAAUGUAAAUUGCGAGGAGAUGAGAUUUGUGAUUAGGAACCUGGUAUAUGUUGAAGAUCCUCCCCGGCAACGGUGCCAAAAAUUCCUUUUGUUGUUGCUUGAAGCUACGUUGAUAUUUCCCCAAAGAGGAAGGGAUGAUGCAGCACAGCGGCGGUAGGUAUUUCCCUCAGAUAUAAAACCAAGGUUAUCGAACCAGUAGGAGAACCAAGCAACACAACAUAAACGGCCCCUGCAUAGAAAUAACAACACCUUGCAACCCAACAUGUUAAAGGGGUUGUCCAUCCCUUUCGGGUAACGACGCCAGAAACGGUGCAUGGACGGGAGAAAGUUGUAAUAGAUUGAAAUAAUAGAUCGCAAAUAAAAUAAAGUGCAGCAAAGUAUUUUUGGAUUUUUGGUUUAAUAGAUAUGAAAAAAGUGCAAAUAAAAUAGAUCACAAAGCAAAUAUAUGAGAAAGAAGACCCGGGGGCCGUAGAUUUCACUAGUGGCUUCUCUCGAGAAAGAUAGCAAAUGGUGGGUAAACAAAUUACUGUUGGGCAAUUGAUAGAACCACAAAUAAUUAUAAUGACAUCCAGGCAAUGAUCAUUACAUAGGCAUCACUUCCAAGAUUAGUAGACCGACUACUGCCUGCAUCUACUACUAUUACUCCACAUAUCAACCGCUAGCCAGCAUGCAUCUAGUGUAUUAAGUUCAUGGAAAAACGGAGUAAUGCAAUAAGAACGAUGACAUGAUGUAGACAAGAUCUAUCUAUGUAGAGAUAGACCCCCUCGUUUUAUCCUUACUAGCAACGAUACAUACAUGUCGUUUCCCUUUCUAUCACUGGGAUCAAGAACCGUAAGAUCGAACCCACUACCAGGCACCUCUUCCCAUUGCAAGAUAAAUAGAUCAAGUUGGCCAAACAAAACCCAAAUAUCGGAGAAGAAAUACGAGGCUAUAAGAGAUCAUGCAUAUAAGAGGUCAAAGAAACUCAAAUAACUUUCAUGGAUAUAAAAAGAUAUGACUGAUCAUAAACUCAAAGUUCAUCAGAUCCCAACAAACACACCGCAAAAAGAGUUACAUCAUAUGGAUCUCCAAGAGACCAUUGUAUUGAGAAUUCAGCGAGAGAGAGAGAGAGAGAGAGAGCCAUCUAGCUACUAACUACGGUCCCGUAGGUCUACAAAGAACUACUCAUGCAUCAUCGGAGAGGCACGAAUGGAGGUGGUGAACCCCAUCUGAGAUGGUGUCUAGAUUAGAUCUGGUGGUUCUGGACUCUGCGGCGGCUGGAUGAAUAUUUCGUCGACUCCCCUAGGGUUUCUGGAAUAUUGGGGUGGGCACAACCCACCAGGGCGUGCCGGGGCCUCCUGGCGUGCCUUGAUGUGUUGUCCCCUCCUCGGGACUCCCCCUAGGUGCAACCAGGGCCCGUUAUGUUCCUUCUGGCCCAUAAAAAUUCUCCGUAAAGUUUCGGGGCAUUUGGACUCCGUCUGAUAUUGAUUUCCUGCGAUGUAAAAAACAUGCAAAAAAUAGCAACUGGCACUUGGCACUAUGCGAAUAGGUUAGUACCAAAAAAUGACUAUAUGAUUAUAAAACAUCCAAGAUUUAUAAUAAAACAGCAUGGAACAAUCAAAAAUUAUAGAUACGUUGGAGACGUAUCAGUCACCGUCGCCGACGGCGAAAACCCACUGUCGGCACGUCCCGAUCAGGGGUCCCCACCGUUAUCUCUCACAAAGCCGGUGAGGUUGCCUUCGUCCCUUACUCACUACCGCGACGUGGGCAGUUGCCGCCUCCCGCCGCCCUCCUCUAGGUUGAGCUACAUCCCGACAUCCCUCAGGUACAACUUCCUUUACAGCCGGCUUGCACCACUGCUCCAGCUGCCCACAUCACUCCAUGUGGAUAUUUCUAUACUUCUUUGCCCCACACAUACCUCUACUGGCUUCUACGUACUGUAUUUGUGAUGAGUUUAUGUCUCAUCUUAUUCUAAUCACGCUUCUUCAAUUUCUUUGCCACAUGGAUGCUCUUCUCAAUUUUGGUGAAACUGCACAAAAUGAUCCGAUGGUCAAAGGGUUGCAAACUUCAUUUCUUGGGAAGCUCCAACGUUGUCAGUAAAUUAAAGCCUGGUUAGGGUUUACGGUUCAAAGGCUAGGGACUGCAUGGAUUGUUUUUUAUUUAGCUGUCUCUGUUCCAAAAUAAGUGUCAACUUUAGUAGUAGUACAACUUUGUACUAAAGUUUGCAUAAAGUUGAGACACUUAUUUUGGAACAGAGGGAGUACAUAUUGGCUAUGAUCUGUCAGUCAUUGAGAUGCAAUAGCAUGCAUGUUAGUCUCCUUUGUAUUUGAUGAAAUUUUGCAACGGGCAACCUUGGAUGCAAGAUACAUGAAACAUAAGCUGGAAGCUUCAUAGCAUUGUACAAAUUUAUCUCACUGAGAAAUUACAGUACGUACUAUACUAGUACUAUGUAAAGAGUUAGAUGUCGCAUGGUGUCCAGAAAAUAUGGUGAUAGUGUGAGGUGGGACAUGUAAUCACCGAGCUUGUGUGUUUUCACUUCUUUCACACUCCUCCGUUGUAAGAAUGGAGAAAAUUGUAAUCUAGUAGUACCUCCUUUCGCCAAAAGCGUGGGACAUCCAGCAGUCAUACCACCUCAGUAAUAAUGACCAAUGAGCCGUCAAAUCACAUAGACCCAGCAGUAAGUUCGACGAACGAAGCAACAAUCACUCUUGAAUCGGCUUCUCCCUUCAACGCAGGCGCCAGUGAGACAUCCCGUCCGCUCUGCCCAGGCAUGAAUGCGGCACCGAUUCUUUGGAGUGACGCUGACCGUUUCGGGCGGGAAGCGCGCGGGGGUGAUGGAGGGGCUUUGGGUGGGCCAGGCUUGUCAGGAUCGGGUGUGGCAGCUGUCCGCCUAUCCCGACCAGACGCCCGGAAAGGAGAGGAUGCACCGACUCUCGCGGCUAAAUCGUACACUACAAAGCAUCUCUUUGUAGGAGUAGGUCGAUCUGUCGCUCUCUCUAACACACACAUGCUGUUAAACACACACACACACACGCACACACGCACACACACACACGCACACACAAGUUCAUAGAAUAGGAAUAUCAUGCAAGUGCGAAGCCACAGGAAGUGACAUACAAAUGGAGUACGUACAAGAAGAGAAGAGGUGACGAAUAUUCCAUAAAACCUCGACUGAGGAGUAGUACUCCCUCCGUCUAGGUGUUAAGUCAUCUUACAGAAAUCAGAUAUUCCCAAAAUGUUUAGGCGUCGUCCAUUAACUUCACAUCUCAAUCCCCUCCUGGCCUCGUUGCUAGUGAGCGUUGUUACUUAGGGAGCGUUUGGAUCCUUAGCAAGAACAGUUUACAGCCUAGCCGGGCAAGGUUAUGCCAUUGGAACUGUUAAAAUAUGUUAGCUUUUGUGGGCUAGCUAGCUUGGGUGGGCUAUGAAAGCACAAGUGCUCUCCAGGUGGUUUUGGUAAUUAAUGUCAACAUAUCCCUUGUUGGACUAAUACUUUUAUCUAGUAUAUUUCAGAUAAGUUCAACAAUGGAGUGGCAUGGACUAAAGGUUGUGGGAACUCCUUCAAGAUGCUAAGGAAAAAGGAUUGGCUAAAGCUUCAAGCUCAGGACUCUUCAUUUUACACUUUUAGUGAUCCAAGAUCACAUUGAGUCCAUAGGAAAAGCCAAUACUAUUAAGAAGGGAUGAGGUGUUGCUUAAUGAGCAUUUUGCUUCAUGUGCUUGAUGAUAUGCUCCAAAACCCUCAGCUACUUUCCCACUUCCACAUAUGACCUAAACUCCAAGCCAAACUCGGUCCUACUGAUUCUUUUCAUCCGGCGCCACCGAGUUUCACAUGUCAUAAGCCACUGCCAAACCCUAGCAAAUCGGUUCUACCGAUAGGGAUCUCGGUCUCACCGAGAUGGGAUUGCAAUCUCACUGUGUAUGUCCAUUGUCAAAAUCGGUCUCACCGAAUUUAGGCAAUCGGUACUACCGAGAUUACAAUGCAAACUCUCUGGUUAACUCAUUACCAAAAUCGGUCCAACCGAGUUUAGUAAUCGGUUCCACCGAGUUUGCCUGACCAACUCUCUGGUUAGCCAAUUACCAAAUCGGUCUCACCGAGUUUGUGUAAUCGGUCUCACCGAGAUUACGUUAUGCCCUAACCCUAACCAUAUCGGUCCUACCGAGUUGCUUGUCAGUCCCACCGAAAAUCUCUAACGGUCACUAGGUUUACCUUUUCGGUCCGACCGAGUUUAUUGAUUCGGUCCCACCGAGAUUGGUAAAUUGUGUGUAACGGUUGGAUUUUGUGUGGAGGCUAUAUAUACCCCUCCACCUCCUCUUCAUUCGUGGAGAGAGCCAUCAAAACACAUCUACACUUCCAACUCAUAUGUUCUGAGAGAGAACCACCUACUCAUGUGUUGAGGCCAAGAUAUUCCAUUCCUACCAUAUGAAUCUUGAUCUCUAGCCUUCCCCAAGUUGCUUUCCACUCAAAUCUUCUUUCUACCAAAUCCAAAUCCUAUGAGAGAGAGUUGAGUGUUGGGGAGACUAUCAUUUGAAGCACAAGAGCAAGGAGUUCAUCAUCAACACACCAUUUGUUACUUCUUGGAGAGUGGUGUCUCCUAGAUUGGCUAGGUGUCACUUGGGAGCCUCCGACAAGAUUGUGGAGUUGAACCAAGGAGUUUGUAAGGGCAAGGAGAUCGCCUACUUUGUGAAGAUCUACCGCUAGUGAGGCAAGUCCUUCGUGGGCGAUGGCCAUGGUGGGAUAGACAAGGUUGCUUCUUCGUGGACCCUUUGUGGGUGGAGCCCUCGGUGGACUCGCGCAACCGUUACCCUUCGUGGGUUGAAGUCUCCAUCAACGUGGAUGUAGGAUAGCACCACCUAUCCGAACCACAGGAAAAACAUCCGUGUCUCCAAUUGCGUUUGAAUUCUCCAAACCCUUCCCUUUACAUACUUGCAAGUUGCAUGCUUUACAUUCCGCUGCUCAUAUACUCUUUGCAUGCUUUCUUGAUAUGUAUUGUGUAUGUUGAAAUUGUGCCUAAAACUCCACUUAAACUGAAAAAGUUUAAAAACUGCAACUUUAGCACUAAGUGUCUAAUCACCCCCUCUAGACACACCUACUUCUAGAUCCUACAAGUGGUAUCAGAGCUUUGGUCUCCAUUGCCUUGGUUUAAUCACCAUUGGAGGAAGAUGGAUGUGUCUACUUUAGGUAGUCUUAGACAUAGAGUGCCUAUUCUUGAUGGAGAGUAUUUUCAUGACUGAAAAAAUGAGAUGCUUGUGAUUUUCAAUCAAUAUCAUUUGAACAAGUAUAUUGCUAGUCCUUGUGCACCUCAUAUUGAUCCUAUGCAUCCCACCCUAGAUUAAGAUAUUGACAUGAUUCGCAAUCUUAGAACCGUUGAGCUCAUCAUUAGAGGAUUGCCCAAAAACUUGAUUGCUAGUUUACCUACUCUCAAGUGUGCCUAUACUAUAUGGAAAUUUCUUGAGGAACUAUUCCCCAAUUAUUCCUUAAAAAAUUUGGAUGAAAUUCUCCAUAAAUCUAUUGCCUUGAGUAAAAUGAACUCUAGUGAUCCUAGUUUUGGUAAUUGUCUAUUUGAGCUUACCAAUCUCAUGCGUGCUAAAGGAAAUAUUGGACUCAUUGGUGAUAUCAUAACCGAAUCUAUAAGAAUUCAUAAAAGUGACCACUUUGAUGAUCAUUUAUCUAAUGAAUUACCCUCUCUAGGAUAUGAUCAAUCACAAGAUGAUGAAGAUGAUGAGUGACUUUGAUCUUGAUGAUGCAAUGAGACACUUUGGUCUUAUGGCUAAUCUUCGAGGAUAUGUGUCAGGAGGAAAGGAAUGGGUUCUCGACAGUGGAUGUACUGAUCAUAUGACCGGAGAUGAAGAGAUGUUCCGUGAGCUUGCUGAAAAUGACGGCCCUCGAAAAUAUGUCACCUUUGGUGAUAAUUCAAAGGGUAAGGUGGUUGGCCUUGGUAAGGUGGCCAUCUCACACGAUAGCUCCAUUCAAAAUGUCAUGCUCGUUGAAUCUCUUGGGUACAACUUACUUUCAGUAUCUAGACUUGCUGAUUUCGGUUUGAAUGUCCUAUUUACUGAGGUAGAUUGCCAAGUGUUUUGUCGAGACAAUCAUAAAAUGGUCUUUACCGGUAUACGUAGAGGUGACCUUUACAUUGUCGAUUUCUCUAAAAAGGCACAACCUAAAACUUGCUUUAUUGCUAAAUCUUCAAAAGGUUGGUUGUGGCAUAGACGACUAGGUCACGUUGGCAUGAGAAACCUUGACAAGCUUAUUAAAGGAAAUCAUAUCCUUGGAGUUAACGAUGUCAUAUUUGAUAAAGAUAGACUUUGUAGUGCUUGUCAAGCAGGUAAACAGGUUGGAGGAAGGCAUCCCGUGAAGAACAUCAUGACCACAAGGAGGCCACUCGAGCUACUUCAUAUGGAUAUUUUUGGUCCCAAUGCCUACAAGAGUCUCGGUGGAAAUUCUUUUGGUCUAGUUAUAGUUGAUGAUUUUUCAAGAUUUACGUGGGUGUUCUUUCUUGAUGACAAAUCGCAGGUCCAAAAGAUCUUCAAAAACUUUGCGAGGAAGGCCCAAAAUCAGUUUGACGUGAAGAUCAAGAAGGUUCGGAGUGACAACGGAACGGAGUUCAAGAACGCAAAUGUGGACACCUUUCUUGACGAAGAAGGGAUUUCACACGAGUUCUCGGCUACGUACACACCUCAACAAAAUGGAGUUGUUGAGAGGAAGAACCGGACGCUCAUCGAAAUGGCGAGAACGAUGCUUGAUGAGUACAAGACGCCAAAGCACUUUUGGGCAGAAGCGGUUGAGACGGCUUGUCAUGCAACAAAUCGCUUGUAUCUUCACAAGCUACUCGGCAAGACGGCAUACGAGCUCCUCACCGGUAACAAACCCCAAGUUGGAUACUUUCGAGUAUUCGGCUCAAAGUGCUACAUUCUUGAUAAUCAUCAUCGUUCAAAGUUUGCACCUAAAUCUCAUGAAGGUUUCCUACUUGGUUAUGGUUCAAACUCUCACACUUACUGUGUCUACAACUCUUUCACCCGAAAGGUUGAAGAAACGGUAGAUGUGAAGUUUGAUGAAUCUAAUGGCUCGCAAGUAGAGCAAUUGCGAAUUGAUGUAGGAGACAAAGACCCUUCAGAAGCAAUCCAAGACUUGUCUGUUGGCAAAAUUCGUCCAAUGGAGGUGAAGGAGAAUACCUCGUCCGUCCAAGUGGAAGCUUCUACUUCACGACAAGGUGAACCAAGAGUUGACACGGAAGCAUCCACAAGUGGGACACACCAAGAUGAAGAAAACGAGGAAACACAUCAAGACGAACAUCAACAACCUCCUUCUCCACCACGACAAGAGAACAACAACGUCAACAAUGAAGAAGACCAAGAAGAUGAACAAGAUGGAGAAGAUGUUCAACGAAGACCCAAGCAAAAGCUUUCACGAGUUCGAGCAAGAAUUGCCAAAGAUCACCCCAUCGAGCAAAUCUACAAUGAUAUCCAAACCGGGAGAAUUACUCACUCAAAAACUCGUUUAGCUAACUUUUGUGAAAACUAUUCAUUCAUCUCUAGCAUUGAACCUAUGAAGGUUGAAGAAGCAUUGGAAGAUCCGGAUUGGAUAAACGCUAUGCAUGAAGAGCUACACAACUUUGAGAGAAACCAAGUUUGGACAUUGGUUGAGAAGCCCGACAACAACCACAACAUCAUUGGUACCAAAUGGGUGUUUCGCAACAAGCAAGAUGAAGAUGGACAAGUGGUUCGCAACAAAGCACGUCUCGUCGCCCAAGGGUACACACAAGUCGAAGGUAUGGACUAUGGUGAGACAUAUGCUCCUGUUGCUAGACUCGAGUCCAUUCGCAUCUUACUUGCCUAUGCGAAUCACCAUAAUAUCACCUUGUACCAAAUGGACAUUAAAAGUGCUUUUCUAAAUGGUGAAAUAGAGGAAGAAGUUUAUGUCAAACAACCUCCCGGCUUUGUCAAUCCUAAGAAACCUAAUCAUGUUUACAAACUUCACAAAGCUCUUUAUGGUCUUAAACAAGCUCCUAGAGCAUGGUAUAAAUGCUUGACCAAGUUCCUUAUUGCAAGUGGUUUUGAAAUUGGAAAAAUUGAUUCUACACUCUUUACUAAAAGGGUUAAUGGAGAACUAUUUGUAUGCCAAAUUUAUGUUGAUGAUAUCAUAUUUGGUUCAAGUAACCCUCUUUUUAGUGAAAAGUUUGGAAAGCUAAUGUCGGAGAAGUUUGAGAUGUCAAUGAUAAGUGAACUCAAAUUCUUUCUCGGUUUGCAAAUCAAGCAAACUAAGGAAGGUACUUUUGUCUCUCAAACAAAGUACACCAAAGACUUAUUCAAGAAGUUCAAUAUGCAAGAAUGCAAAGGUAUGCCUACACCCAUGCCUACUAGUGGACAUAAUGACUUGACCAAAGAUGGUGAACCGGUUGAUCAAAAGGUCUAUCGCUCUAUGAUUGGUUCAUUGUUAUACCUAUGUGCUUCACGUCCCGAUAUUAUGCUAAGUGUGUGCAUGUGUGCACGAUAUCAAGAUGCUCCUAAAGAAUGUCAUCUUAAGGCCGUGAAAAGGAUAGUGAGAUACUUAAUCCAUACACCAAAUUUUGGCAUUUGGUAUCCUAAGAGGUCCUCUUUCGAUCUUGUUGGCUAUUCCGACUCGGAUUAUGCCGGAGACAAGGUUGAUAGAAAGUCCACUUCGGGUACUUGUCAAUUUCUUGGUAGAUCUCUUGUGUCUUGGUCCUCCAAGAAACAAAACUCGGUAUCCUUAUCCACCGCCGAAGCGGAAUACAUUGCCGCUGGUUCAUGCUGUGCUCAAUUACUUUGGAUGACCCAAACUCUUAAAGAUUAUGGGGUCUAUGUGAAACAUGUUCCAUUGCUUUGUGACAAUGAAAGUGCUAUCAAAAUUGGUCAUAAUGCUGUGUAACAUUCUCGAACUAAGCACAUUGAAGUUCGUCAUCAUUUCAUUCGAGAUCAUGUUGCUAAGGGUGACAUUGAUCUUAAGCAUGUUCGCAACGAUAAACAAUUAGCUGAUAUAUUCACUAAACCACUUGAUGAGAAAGUGUUUUGCAGGUUGAGAGGAGAAUUGAACAUCAUUGAUGCUUCGAACUUGGAAUAGAAACUCCAUUGGAUACAUGCAAGACAUGAGCUUAUGGCCAAUCCAUGAUAUAUCUCUUAUGAUGACUAUCUUAUGUCUUGGAUAUAUUUGUAUCUUGCAUGUUAUCUAACCCAUGUAGGUACUUGGUUGAAUCUAAUUCUAUGAGAUUGCAACUCACUCACAUCUUGAGCAAUCUCUACAUCACCAAGUCUCUACACAAUGGUGGUUGGUGACAAGGAAGCACGAAACCAUUUGAACAUAUCCUUUGACAAAUUCUAUGUUGAGCUUCAUGAUUGUCAUUUUUGGAUAUACAAGUGCUUUUCCUUGCAAGAACUAAUCCAUGUAGGUAGAUGAACUCAAACUCCAAGUGGUGCUCCCAACUCAUGAUGAUCUACAUCACCCUUGAGCACCCACACAAGUUCAACCACAUGAGCAAGAUCCACACCACCACCCAAGGUAUGUUGUUCCAUCUUAGAGAUGCUUUACUCCAAGUCAUGAGUUAAAGCAACUCCACAAGAUGAGAGUACAUCAAAAUGCUUAAACGAAAAAUGGUAACCCCAUUUUGAGCUUAAACGAUGAGUAUGACCUAUGAUCAAGUGUCCUCACUUGACUCCUAAGUCAAUAUACUCUAACAUAGGUGACCAUGUCACCGCCCAAUUCUAGAUGAAGUUCUCUUGUGUUCUUUUCUGAGUUAUUGCAUUUGUCCCUUGCAUAUUUGUUUCUUUCGUUUUCAAACAACAAAAAAAAACUUCAUCUAGAAACUUUCAUUCUUUUCUUUUUGAUUUUUGUUCUGCAUAUUUCUGCAUCAAAUUCCUUGCAAAUCUUUCAGCUAAUUCAUUGCAAAUCUUUGUGAGAUCUUACUUGACUAGUGAGCUGAGGUGACAAGAGUUUUCUCUGUGGUGAACUCGGUUUCACCGAAUUUUCAUUUUCGGUCCAGCCGAAUCCCUUCGGUACCACCGAAACAUGCCACUCGGUGCCACCGAUUUCGCAACAGGAAAAACAGUUUGCCACAUAUUCUAUAUUUCUUCUGAUCUAGCUCCACUCAAUGAAUCUUGUCCUCUACAAGCAUCACAGUUUUAUUCACUGCUUUGUGCUGAAUCUCAAGGACCAAACCUAUUCGACGGAUUCCAGGAAAAACCUUCUUGGAAAUUGAUGUCAAAGGGGGAGAGAGAGAUCAUAUCAAAGCUUAUCAUCGGGGAGAGAGAGAUCACAUCAAAAGCUUAUCACCUACAAAGGAGAAAGUACUAAGGGGGAGAGAAUACUCAAGGAUCCAAAUAUUAAGGGGGAGAAAGAAAUCUCCAGGGGGAGAGAAUACUCAAGGAUCCCAGAUGCUUGAUGUUCAAGAGGAGAGAUGCCACAUGUCUUUUUGGGGGAAAGACAUGUUCAUAUGUACUCAUUUGAAUUAAGUUCUAUUCAUAUCUUUCAUCUCUGAUUUUCUGUUCCCUAUCUUCUCCCAAUAUCCCAUGUCAGAUUCAGGGGGAGCAAGACAUCUAAGGGAAAGAAAUCAUUCAAAUUCAUUGCAUAUCUUUACUCUUGGGGACAUGUCUAAUCCAAUGUGGUACCUUGUACUCACUCUUUACAUGUCAUCCCAGUCUUGGUAUUCUUGUGGUUUCUUUUGGUUUGCUCUGGCCAUUGGAUGUACCUGUGUUAUCUAACCUUGUUUGUGCAGGUUCAUUCCAUCCUAAGUCAACUCAAGACUACAAGGUAAGUAUAUGCAUCCGAAUCAUGAGUAUGAGGAAUUCUUGCUUUUUGUACAUACUGUUUGCAAGAAGGACUCAUAAGCAUGAAGGUAUUUCUCUUAAUAAUCUUUUGCUCUGAUGCAUAUGGCCAAGAUACAUGUAACACAUUGCCUACUCUGUCAUGAUUAUGCUCUCACAUGCUUCUAUAUUCUGUAUUCACAUGAUUGCAUACAUGUAGGGGGAGCCUAUGUUUGUUACAUGUUCUUCCAAAGCUUUACUUGCUAUUCUUUGUAUAUUUAUCUAAAGCUUUGAUGUAUGUUGCCAUCAAUUACCAAAAAGGGGGAGAUUGAAAGCACAAGUGCUCUCCAUGUGGUUUUGGUAAUUAAUGUCAACAUAUCUCUUGUUGGACUAAUACUUUUAUCUAGUAUAUUUCAGAUAAGUUCAACAAUGGAGUGGCAUGGACUAAAGGUUGUGGGAACUCCUUCAAGAUGCUAAGGACAAAGGAUUGGCUAAAGCUUCAAGCUCAGGACUCUUCAUUUUACACUUUUAGUGAUCCAAGAUCACAUUGAGUCCAUAGGAAAAGCCAAUACUAUUAAGAAGGGAUGAGGUGUUGCUUAAUGAGCCUUUUGCUUCAUGUGCUUGAUGAUAUGCUCCAAAACCCUCAGCUACUUUCCCACUUCCACAUAUGACCUAAACUCCAAGCCAAACUCGGUCCUACUGAUUCUUUCCAUCCGACGCCACCGAGUUUCACAUGUCAUAAGCCACUGCCAAACCCUAGCAAAUCGGUUCUACCGAUAGGGAUCUCGGUCUCACCGAGAUGCGAUUGCAAUCUCACUGUGUAUGUCCAUUGUCAAAAUCGGUCUCACCAAGUUUAGGCAAUCGGUACUACCGAGAUUACAAUGCAAACUCUCUGGUUAACUCAUUACCAAAAUCGGUCCAACCGAGUUUAGUAAUCGGUUCCACCGAGUUUGCCUGACCAACUCUCUGGUUAACCAAUUACCAAAUCGGUCUCACCGAGUUUGUGUAAUCGGUCUCACUGAGAUUACGUUAUGCCCUAACCCUAACCAUAUCGGUCCUACCGAGUUGCUUGUCAGUCCCACCAAAAAUCUCUAACGGUCACUAGGUUUACCUUUUCAGUCCGACCGAGUUUAUUGAUUCGGUCCCACCGAGAUUGGUAAAUUGUGUGUAACGGUUGGAUUUUGUGUGGAGGCUAUAUAUACCCCUCCACCUCCUCUUCAUUCAUGGAGAGAGCCAUCAGAACACAUCUACACUUCCAACUCAUAUGUUCUGAGAGAGAACCACCUACUCAUGUGUUGAGACCAAGAUAUUCCAUUCCUACCAUAUGAAUCUUGAUCUCUAGCCUUCCCCAAGUUGCUUUCCACUCAAAUCUUCUUUCUACCAAAUCCAAAUCCUAUGAGAUAGAGUUGAGUGUUGGGGAGACUAUCAUUUGAAGCACAAGAGCAAGGAGUUCAUCAUCAACACACCAUUUGUUACUUCUUGGAGAGUGGUGUCUCCUAGAUUGGCUAGGUGUCACUUGGGAGCCUCCGACAAGAUUGUGGAGUUGAACCAAGGAGUUUGUAAGUGUAAGGAGAUCGCCUACUUCGUGAAGAUCUACCGCUAGUGAGGCAAGUCCUUCGUGGGCGAUGGCCAUGGUGGGAUAGACAAGGUUGCUUCUUCGUGGACCCUUCGUGGGUGGAGCCCUCCGUGGACUCGCGCAACCGUUACCCUUCGUGGGUUGAAGUCUCCAUCAACGUGGAUGUAGGAUAGCACCACCUAUCCGAACCACGGGAAAAACAUCCGUGUCUCCAAUUGAGUUUGAAUUCUCCAAACCCUUCCCUUUACAUUCUUGCAAGUUGCAUGCUUUACAUUCCGCUGCUCAUAUACUCUUUGCAUGCUUGCUUGAUAUGUAUUGUGUAUGUUGAAAUUGUGCCUAAAACUCCACUCAAACCGAAAAAGUUUAAAAACUGCAACUUUAGCACUAAUUGUCUAAUCAUGCCCCCUCUAGACACACCUACUUCUAGAUCCUACAGGCUAGAAAAACUUUGCUAGCUCAUUAGAGCCAGAUCGGCUCGCUUCCGACGGCAAACUUCGCGCAUGGAAAAAUCGGCGACCCACUCAUGACAACGAUUUUCACGGGGCAAGGCUGGUAAGGAAAACAACUAAACCGUUUGGCCAGGCAAGGUUGGCAAAAGCGAAAGCUGGCUAGCUGGGCUAGCCGAGCAAUUUCCUUAGAGCAUCUCAAUGUAUGGAGGUAGUGCAGCCUCUAAGCUGGGCCCCAUGUUAGUGCCUCUAAGAAUGAAUGAAAGUUCCGCAGUGUAUAAAGAUUUUAACAUGCAUCCAAGGUGGAGCCCACCAUAAGCCUACAACAAAUAAAAAAUCCAAGUUACAACUUCUCAUCCAUGUGCAUGCAGGUCUCUUUCCUCCUCUCUUCUUUUAUUCCAUUUGUUUAUUCACUUGGAGGCUGCCUCUAGUGUUGGAGGCGACACUAAGCAUAGAGGCGGACAAACUAAAUCGUGCAGUGUAUAGAGGCAGACUAGAAAUCCUUAGAGGCGCAAAAACAUCACAUUGUGGAUGCCCUUACUAAGGCUAGCCAUAGUGGGAGUAACUUAGGUAGUAGCAUAGCACAUCCCAAGAAAAAAUUGCAUAUGUGGCAUGGAGUUAAUGAGGAAAGAGAUGCUUGUGGUAAAAUAAUAUGUUACUAUAACAUAACACACCCUGAGGUAAAAUGAGUCUAUAUCUCAAUUAAUGAAGACUUGCAUGUUACCAUCCAUAUAUUACUACCCACUAUGAAGGUAUAGUAACAUAGACUAGUAACAUAUGCAUGUUAGUAGUCCAAGUUACUCACCACUAUGACUAGCCUAAGCAAUGUAACCAAAUGCUCCUUACUUUGCCUUGUUAUCUCCCCUGGAAACCCAAUGUAUGGAGCGCAACUAUGCGUUGAUCAGUCAAGAAAUCAAAGUCGGCUUGCAUGCGAGUUAAUACGUGGCCCUGCAUGGUAGCUAAAACAACAUCUCUUAGUUGUUGUGAUUAAUUGUUGCGUUUGGAGACAGAAAUCAGGUCUUUGAUUGGAGGAAGGACCGGUCAAGUUUCUCCUUCUCCUCCAAUCUGCUUGCACCUUGGUCCUGCUGCACCUUCUAACGUGACUUAUUACACCUAUAUGGAGGGAGUAGUACGAGAUAUGGUGGCACACUGACUUAGGUCGAAUACAAGUUCCCAAAAUUUAAUAAGGAUUCACUUAAACUAGUACGUGAGUGAACAGAUGGAUCAAUUGGACAGUGUUGACGAGAAGUAGCGAGAUGUGUGGGGUAAGAUACACCGCUGGCGCUUUUAAUUUUUAUUAUUAAUUUGUUUGUUUCACCCUCUGACUGGUGGGACCCAAUGUACUACGUGGAGAGAGGUAAGGUGACUAAGGCUGUAUUAUUUCUGUACUACCAAUAUUGCUUUAAAUCCCAAAAGACCUUACCACCAAAGCCACAUGACACGAUUAUGAUUUAAAUCCCAAUGACUCCCACACAAAAAAAACACG